rnacentral:lncRNA from 1 species
GGUUAGUUUAAACGUUAAUUAAAAAACCCCGCCCACUCUCCGAAUUCGGACAUUAGUGUCGAGCGGACGUUAGUGCUAAAGUAUCGAAACUCCUCGGUAAAGAAGUGACUUUCUUUAACGUUAAAGGUGACAGUAAUGCUACAAAAACGAAAAUGAGGCUGAGGCAGUGUUAAUGGAGACAUUUUCUUGGACUGUCGUUGACUUUUGGAGGAUUCUAAAGCGAACGCGGGGAGAUGCUAAUGCUAACGCGGCGAUGGACUACGGAGGCUCGCGAGGACGAUUUUACCGAGGAGGCAUCAAAACUGUAAGUCUGUUUUAAUCUCUAAAAGGCUGUUUUUGUAAUCUAUGUAAAUCCUUUUAAUCUCUAAAAGGCUGUUUUUGUGAUUUUUGUUAGUUUGGCUAAUAUUGACUAAACUGUCAGGUAGCAGCUUUGAUUAAAAGCUUUAAUAUUUUCACAUUUAACAUGCAGUAUUGGUUGAAGUUUGCUUUAAGUCCCUAGAACAGGGCUCUCUGUGUUAGCUGGUGUUACUGAGUUUUGUUUCACAAUGGGUACAUGUUGUUGUCUGUUUCUGUAGAACUGGCUGUAUCUAUUUUAUAUCCUGUCACUUCCCUUUUUAUAGACCAAGUACUAGUUUGCCUUGCAUAGCUGAAUGAUGAAAAAGAAAGAACAGCUAGCCUGAGUUUUGCAUGUUUAUACAAUAGUUAGUAGUACUGUUUUUGAUGAGCUAAACCAAACUGAGGCUGCAUGUUUGUUGUACAGAUGAGAGAGCAAGAAACCCUCAUUAACAAGUCAAAUAAGCUUUUUUUUUGUAUUAAGUGCUCAUGUUUAGACUCUUGUAGAGUGACCAUAAGUGUUUUUGUUGCCAAAGGUAGGAGAGCAGUAUUUGGUUUUUGUUGAACUGAAGAUUUUUGAAAGUAUGGGCUUCUUUUUAUUCCUAUCAAAUAAUUGCUGUAAUUCACAAAGGUUUAUUCCAUUUUGAGCUUCAUGGUCAUGGUUCCAGAAUAUCAAUCUUUACAUCCUUAGCCUGCUGUUUCUGUGGUCUUUGUGCGAAAUCUGCAUCUCAGGGAUGACUGUGGCUCUCUAUUGUUCUAUAUCAUUGACAAACAAUGCAGUGAAAAAGUUAACACAAUGUCAGAGGAUGUUUUUUUUUCAUACAAAGGUUUCUUUUUUCCGUUACUGUAACACCCAUCAUUAUAACAACCACUUCAUCUACACACACGCACACACACACACACACACAAUCUUACAAACACAUGCUUCCACAUCAAGGUGUUGACAAGCCACUAAAACAGGCCUGCUCAUUUUAUGUUGAAUAUGUGGCAGUGCUGGAGUUGAUAAGAUAAAAUCUCAGGUGUCAGUGAAAAAGAAAAGAUGAAAAAGGGAAAAAAAACAACACAUGCUCUGGCUGAGAAGAGGUACACCUGCUAAAGUAAUGGUCUAAUUAUGGAGUAGGUGAUGAAACACUCAUCGGGAGUCUGGAGAUAUCAGCAACACAUGCUAACUGUGAAAGCCAUCAGCUAUUACAGUGUUUUAAUGUGCGCCACAUCGCACGCUGAGGGUUGUGUGCUAAGAUGAAUGAUGGCUGUGGCAGGUUUCUGUGGGGGAGCAGCCCGAGAAGGAUGCAUAGCAUUACAGCUGGCAUUUUGAAAAGGUUCAUUAAAACUGUGAUUCCUUUGUUCACGCUUUGUUUCAUGUAUACUUUAUGACACAUCUCAGUUCAAGUCGACCCCAUAAACCUCAGAUCAUCUUAUCAUGUGCAAAAUAUCACAUCCUGGUGUGUCUUCUUAACAAUAUUGUGUUAGUGAUGGGUAAUCAGCGGAUGACAGAAGAGCCCCCGAACCAAAAUUAUACCUCCGUGAGCGACUUUGCACCCAAAUGAUAAAAAACAGCAAAGGUUUUCUUUUCAUGUGUAAAGGUCAUUCCCUGUGUUUUGUAAUUUGCUGACACUAGUCUGGGGACUGAAGAUGGAGAUUUCUGUGUUGCCACCCCGAGAGUAAUAAUAUCCCUAUCUCAACUUGGGAAAUCUACUGUGCCCCAAUGUCCCCGUCACCCGUGUGAACCCAUUAUGGGCUGUGUAGAAAUCUGCAGGUCUCAUUUCAUAUAUGACCUCACCCUCCCCGCCCUCCCCUCCUCUCCUUUCUGUCCCCGUGUCUCCUGAAUAGCUUAUAAUAACAAGCUUUAAGAAGCCUACCCUUAGUGCCCCCAUAGGAUACAGCCUUGCAAGGCUCUAUAAUAUCAUGCUUUUUUCCUAAUUAAAGGUCAGUUUGGUGCAGUCUCAUAGUUGCCUUGGCUGAAAAAUCUCCUGAAGCAUGAUAGCUUUGCCAAAUGUGAUUUAAUUUUCCAUUUAUGCCAUCUGUUUUCUUGGCUAAGGCACUGAAUUGCACAAGUUGAAAAUGUUGGAACUGUCGGAUUCAUUUUGUAAUUCUUCAUAUUUGGAGUUUAUAAUGAAUCACAUCCAGAAAAAGAAGAAGAAGUUUUCUCGCAGCUUCGACCUCCCAAGAUCAAGCAGCUGGUUUUUAUCUGACCUGUAUGUGGCACUUUGGAUAGUUUUGUCCGUACUUUGCAUCUGGAGAUGGUUGGUGUAGCUGAAGUAAUUGCUGUGGUUGUAUUCUACGUACACUCAUCUCUUACAGCUUAUACUUUAUUGCUUAACUUAUCAUUAAACACACACCCCAUACACCCACAUGCAUGUGUGCAUGCACAGAGCGCACCCGUACACAUGCAUGCAUGCAUACACACAUAUACUUUCCUCCGUCUGGUGGGGAGUCUGGACUGCUCCGUCUGACUGCGCCUCACUGCCCUUGUGCAGUGGUGUGCCAGUUGUGCCUUCCCCCAUCGCUGUGAAUGCCACCAUCUGGUGUGCCACGUGGACAUCAUAAUCUCCCCUUAAUUACAUUAGCAGUGCAAUCAGUUACUGCAUUACAAGGCCGGGCGAAGAGCUUUUAAAUCUUGGAGGAAAUCAUAAAUAAUUGCACUAAGUACCCAGCGCCAGAUGUGCGUGCCAACUUGGCUGGCAUGAGAUAAAUAGUAACCUCAACAACGGUGUUCAAUAUCCACUCUGCAAACAUUUUUGGGCAGUAUGAUCCCCUUGUCUUUUACUCUUGUCCCCGUCCUCAUCCUUUACCCUCCACUUUCUUUUACUUUGUGUGUUAAAGCACACAGAGGUCGGGGUCUGUUGACCGCACAGUCGGCUACCUGUUGCUACUGUGUGUCUGUGCUGCAGGGUGACUGAUGGCCUCCGAGAGACGGUUUGUAACGAGGUGCUCCACGGCGUCACCACCAUUCAGUCCAUUACUACAGCCUUCAAUCAUGCCUCAAUUGUGUAAUUAGAUGUUUCUCGGGUACCUGGUGUUUGAAAUUGAAAUUUCCUGAUGAAUUCUGAAUAGUUGUGUUUAGGUGUGUGUGUGUCUGUGUGUGUGUGUGCAGACGGACAUGACAUUACACAUUAUGAGCCUCCUCAGAGGGGAUGUUGCAUUGUGUGGCAUGGUACUUUUCACUCAUCUUCCUGUCAUGUUCUUAGUUCCCAGGGCCGCUUGUACUGACACACAUCUCCGUCAGUUCAGCACUCGCUCAGAGCAUUUCCUCUUAACCCACCAGCUACACAGAAACUCUAUCUGUUACCAACACGCUGCUGCUGCUGCGGCCGUUGGAGUUAUGAAAAAGCUCCGAUUUUGAACGGGAGGCAUUCAUAGACACACCGAACCUCAUCAUAGCAGCAGGAGCACAGGUGUAACUAAUAACACUAAUGAGCAGGCAGCUAUGCACAAUACCACAGCCUGGGUCUUGAAAACUAAAUUGUUUGAAGCCGUCAUUAACUAUAUGAGACACACCUGGGCUUUUUCUGCUCCAGCAUGUCACGAAUGAAGUCCUCAAAAUUCUGUCCUGUAAUGUUUAUAAUAGGAGGACAAUGUUUUGUUGUAGUUUAGAGGACAGUUUGUGUUUUUAGUGUUUGAAUGUGAUGUUUUCCCACCUGAGAGCUGGCUGAUUUACAGAAAUCUUCAGGGGCGGUCCAGUUAUCCCAGGCAAUAACACCUCACCAAAGUUGAAAUGUGAUGCCAGAAACACAAAAACAUAGAUAUCUUAUGUAAAAAGUCGUGUUUUCUCAUAAAGCACAUGUUAACCAAAUGAACAGAGGCUUGAAUAGUCGUGUUUUCGCUCUAUUUUGAUACGUGUUUUCAGCUUCUUCCAUUGUAAUUGAUGCACAGAACUCACCUGUGAAUUCUUGUUGUGUCUUUUGUGUUUUUCUAAUGGUGAUAUUUAUAUUGGCAGUGAGCAAUGUUUAACCAGCCCAAAGGACGGUGUGGGUUGGAAAGUUUUCAGACCCUUUAGUUCAGAAAAUAGAGCGACCAAAGUCAGGCCUUUCCAUCAGGGGCUAAUGGUUGCUUCACAGUAAAGCUGGGAAUAUCUCAGUCCAUGUUUAGUCAACGGAUGUUGAAUGAAGCUGGUUGUGUUUAACACAGUUGUAAUAAUAAUAUACUAUAGCAGUCAGUCAUUAUUCAAAAUUAUGUUAAAUAAGAAAUCUGUUAAUCUAUUCUUUAUUUUAAUAAUUUAACUUUUCAUGCAUGUUCACUCAUGUUCCAAAUAUUCUAUAUAUUGAUAAGAAAAUAGGAUCGAUUUGGGUCAAUGGAAAAAAAUUGCUUAUUUAGACAUUUGAAAAUAAGUCCCUUUAAUAUGCAAUGAAACAGAUCCAGGCUCUAUAUUGUACGUCUAUUAAAAAGUCUGAACUCUAACUGUGUGUUUCAUGUCACAGAUGGUCUGAUAUAUUUGCAGAGAUGAUUAGAUCCAUACGUGUUAAUUAAAGGUAUUUAAUAGUAUCUCUAUAAUUACUCGUACUGUUAAUUGUUCCUGCGUUUGAUAGGUUAAUAUGAGUACAGUGGAGUUUCUUAUAACUGAAGUAAACGGUUCAGCUUUAUGCAUUUGGAUGUAAAUGGUUUUCCAUCUUCAUGCUCUCAGGAGGGACCGAGGAGGUAAAAGACACACCUCCAGAUUUAUCCCCCUCACUGUUUAAAUAAGAUAUAAAAUCACAAAAAGGCACGUUGACAAUCCAUCUCCCGGUCGCAGGUAUUGAUAUUAACAUGUACAAUGCCCAUUUCAAUUUGAUCACAAUCUGGCCUUCAAAGUGCUUUUUAAAUGAACGGGUGUCUUUCCAACUAAACAAUGUGCGGAUAGAAACACGGCAGAGUGAAGAAAGAGAAUUACAGAUAUUGACUAAAUACGUCUUAUCAUUUAUCAUAAUUUCUCCAUCCACUUUGUCACGGCUUCAGCGUGUAAGGAAGAUAGAUGAUACAAGAUGUUGUCCUCUCUUUCAUACUUUCCCUGCUCUGGGAAGUGUGUCCAAUAUGGACUUACUUUACCUCUUUGCAAUUCAGUUUGCAUGCGUUUGUCACCGCCCUGACAGAGUUUGCAUUUCUUGCAUGUUUCCUUUUUUACCCGUGCUGCAUUAAGGGACAUCUGGCGUUUUCACCUUUGACCUGUUUGACGAAGGAUGCGAAUCAUGAGCAGCAAUAUAUCUUACUGAUGAUAGCAAAUACUUAAAGGGCAGCGUGUCAAAUCUCUACACGGGUGUUUUAGUCGAUUAAGCGAUGGCGUUACGUUAUUCAGGGAGGUUUUAAAAGGACCACAAUGUCAGUGAAGUGUCGUUAAAAAACGAGGCUUCCAAAAAGGUGUGGCGUUUCCUUUCUUACGCUCCAGUGGGCUUUAUGCUGAGGUGGUUCACCUCGGCAAGGGCGACCAUUAAUAUCUGAGAAGGAGUAUUCCCAGGGCGAGGUGACUGGAUGGAGAAGGUCCUGCUCCGAGCAGACACCUACAACAUGAAAGUUCAGAAAAGUGCUGAGCCUGAGCACAGCUAGCUACGCAGCCAUCUGCUCCCCUGCUAACUAAUGCAAAAUAUCCACAGUGAGUGAAUCUCCAAGAGGGAUGGGACUCACUGUCUCAUUUUCCUUAUAAUUCAGAUACACAUGAGGUAAAGACUUUACAUGGUGCAGAAAAAAGGGGUGUAUUAAAUAUCAUGUGCUUUAAUAUCCUCAUGUAAUCUGCAGUCAUACUUUUUUUUGCACAGUACCUUUUAUUUAAUAUCCAACUAAACUGAUCACAUCCUGUGCAAUAAUACUUUCUAUUUCAUGUGCAGUGACUCUAAUAUCAUGUGCAGUAACACUCUUCUUUUUUUGCAUGAGUACGUUUCAUUUUAUGCGCAGUACCUCCUUAUAUCUAAUACUUCCACGUCAUGCUCAUUAUACUUUUUUACAUUUUCUAAUUCUAAUACCAUGAAGUUAUUUGUAUAUCCUGUACAGAAAUUCAUCUUUCCAUGUUUUGUUCUUAUCCAGUGUUUCCCCUAGAAUUUUUUUUCAGCAGCGGCGUGUGUGUGUGUAUAGAAAAUUAUAUCCAUAAUAGACGCUCAAAUAAAUUCUGUUAUCCCUGUUACUCCCUUGCCGCUCAAGGAGCUCCUCUGUUACUUUCACGUUACGUUACGAUACCCGCGCCACUCGCUAUGGACCGUGUAUUAGCUUGAGAGUUACCUUUCACAUUAAUGGAAGAAGGUCUGACCGGAUUGGAUCCGCUCAUUGAUGACUCCAAACAAGUCGAAUAUAACGUUGUGUGUUCUUGUGCUCACACAGAGCGAGUAGAAAUUAUUAGUGGCAUAUUGAUAUGUAAAAUUUCAGUGGUGGCGCAUGUAAUUUCAGUAGUGGCGGUGCGGAUGGCAAUAUAAGAUAUAUGAUAUUUUAGGAUGCUGUAUGCGGGUGAUAUAUGCAGGUGCAUGUGGCCUAAACUAAACUGCAGUUUAUUGUUAUGAAUGUAAUUAUAACGGAUGGACCUGUGUUUUUAUUUCCCUGUUCUGACUGUAUUAAAAGCGACUCUUGGCUGAGCUGAGUGUACAAAACCAGAGUCUUGAUUCCUGUGUACAACUUAAGCAAAGCUAUGUCAGUGAUGAUGUGUUGUCAGGGAGGUAUGGUGUAAGUAACGCUUCAUUAAUUUUUAUCACAUUACAAAUAAUCUAACAACACUAUGUAUAUUUAUUCUCUGUAGCACCAGGGCCCAGAUGUUUACUUUGUUAGUUUGGUUGCAGGUUUAGAACUUACUGAUUUUUCCUUCUGUUGGAGCUGAAAGACCUUUUAAAACGUUGACUAUAGUGAAGCAUCGACCUGAUCAGACAUCCUGUUAAUAACGUGUUAAAUGAAACAUUGAAAAUAUAAGAAAUAAGGGAGUAAGAAAGCAGAACAAUGUGUUUUAAAAUUGUUGUUUGGCAGAAACAAAAGCAGAAAGUUGUUCUGAUAGAGUCAGUGAUUGUCAGUGACGUGACCCUGUGGUUUCUGGAGCAGGUUUUGAAGCCGAUGUUGCCUUUGCUUGACUUCAGGUUUACCCUAAAAGUGGCCGAGUUGUUAUGUUGUCCUUUAAUACCGGAGCUUACAUCUUAUCUGAGCAGAUUCUCCCUUUUAAAAUGAACUAAAUCAAACACACUAAGUAUCAGCGCUGAAACCACCAAGAGUUAUAAGUUUAAUAAGAUGUGCUGAUAUGCCCAGGCUCUUAUUUCUUCUUCUUCGUACGCUGAUUCUUACAUCUAUUACACACACAGGACUCUGUCACUCAGCCCUCUCCUGGAUUUGAAUGUGUUGUUUGCCCCGGUGUGGUGAUUUAAAGGGAACAUUUUAUCAGGGCUAGCCAAGCAAGCCUGGUCCACCAGGGAGCCGGGGCAUUUUAUAAGGGUAUAAAUAAUCAAUGACACUGCAUCUGUAAUGGCCUGUAAUGCAGUUUGUUAACUCCUCCACUUCACCCCGCCCCCCCCUCUCCGCCCAGGAAGGCGCGUUUGUUGCUCAGACAAUAGAAACGGAUUGCUGCGUUUAAUUGACAAGGCAGGGGGAUCUCUCUUUAGCUGUCUUUCUGUCUCUCUCUGUUACUCUGACUGCACACGACUCCGAGACACUCUCUCUGUUUGUUUUCCAUCAUUCCAAAUGGAGCCGUAUGAGGCGGCGGGAGAGGACAAAUAGAGGCUGAAGGUCAUUAAGUCCACAUUAAAUGUUAACUUAUGCAUGCAACGCGGCUUGAUUAAGAUCAUGCGAUUUCUUUUGUGUCAUUUUAGCUGUUUCUCUCCAUGAGCACGUAUCUCAAAUUAACUUUUAUUGAUCAGUUACAGGCCAAACCCACAAAAGACUCAAACAUUUGCCAAAAAGUUCAGUUUUAUGACCUGACACGCCAUAAAACUCGUUCACAUGUAAACCUCUGGUCACGUCGGGGGCGGGAGGCUGUUUAUAAUUGGUCAGAGGAAGGACUCAGUCACCGCCGUCACGUCUGAGGAUAAUAUUUCAUUUAAUUCCUGUGAAAAACAAAACAAAAACAAAAUACCAAGUGUGCUCACCCCCUCCUCCCCCUGCUCACACACACACACACAGCCAAACGCGAUACAUAUUUUGAGUCUCACCCCUCCCCCCCGGUCUCACCCGUGAGCCUCUGAUUUCCAUUAUUAUUAAUAUCUGCCUGUUUAAUUUUCAGCUCUGUCAUAAUGUGUCGACCUAAACUACAAGAGACAAUCCCUUAUUGAUUACUUUCCCAGCAGCCCCGGCGCAUGCCCCAGCUGAUCACGCCUCUCAUGCACAGACAUCUCAUGCAUUUCAGAUAAUAAGCUGCUGCUCCGGAGUUGAAACAAAUUGGAUGUGCAGUCAGUCACUGUCCAAGUGAAUCAUGUUGCAGUCUGUCAGUGGACUAGGCUUGGAUUAUCAUCUUACCCAAGCGAGGCAAAGAAAAGAGAGAAAAAACGCCAUGAGCACCUGCCAUGAAGGCGGGGUGGUAUUACUGCGUGUGCGUUAAUGCCACGCUGUUGCAGAGUUGUUUAUCGGGAGUAUUGAUCACCCUGCGUGUUGUUAAACAUUUUAUACACAUUUGUUAUUUUAAAGUAAAGCCCAAACUAGAAGGAGAGUGACUUUUCCAAAAAAAAACUAUGACAGGGGAAGACAUAAUAAGAUCCAAACAAAAUCUCUCAGCGUAUUUGACGUGUGUAUCAUUAGUGUAGUGAUCUUGAUGAAAAGAACUCAUCGACAGUCUGCCGUAUGAGGAUCUAUUUUUUGAGUGAUUCGAUUGAAACGGCGUCGCUCUUUGUCUUUAUUUGAACAAAGCGUGACGCUUCAAACAAACAUGAUUUCCUUCAUCUAUACUUUGGGCCGGGCGUGAAAACAAAGUACAGGCUUUUAGCAUCACGGCAGAUGGCUUUUUAGAAAGUUCCCAUGAGAAAUAUUUGACAAGAUAUGAAUGAAGCAAGUCAUUAGUCCUCUGAAAUCGAUGAGUUCUUAUCAGGAGCAAACUUUUGUUUACAUGACAACCAGAAAGUCUCGACACAAGGAGAAGGAUCAGCUGCAGGAUUUGUUUAUGAACAAUAUUUUCCAGCCUGUCACACUUUUCUCUAUAGCAUGACAGCACUGUUGAGCUUACAAUAGUAGAUGCUAGGAACACCAUGCACCGUGCGCCGUGUUAUACUAUACACAGACAAGGCUUACACUGUGCCAAAUGCUACUUCCAGCAGAAAACAAUGCUGCCAUUGUGUUUCCCUGCUUUGGAUCCUUCAACAGGGAGAAAAUAAAGCAUCCUGUCACCGCGGACUUGGCUCCGUUUCAAAUUUAGUGCGCUUUCACGUUAAAAAAUCAAAAAGGCAAGAUUUUUAUUUUUUUCUCCAAGUUGCAACGGAAGACAUGAUUAAUAAUACAUCAGGAUUAUAGAGCACAGACUGUGCAGCGCUGACUUUAAUAAGUCCAUGGAGGGAAAACAAACCCAGACUCUGAAAACAACCACACUCACUGGCUGCAAAACAUCUGCAUUUAAACACCAAUAAAUCUACAUUUUCCUCCUCUCUGCUAAAUAGGAUUGUGCUUGAUGUUUCACAUGUACCUAAAUAAAGGCGAUGGCCAUCUUUUUUUUUGUCCCAGAUUUUUCCCAAACUAUAUGAAAUAAAGGUUUGAUUUUGGAGCUGCACCUGAGCUUCUGCAGUUUGCAGCAAAAACCCUGAGAAGUAGAAUAAUUGGCACCCUAGUGUAAGACUCCCUCAGCUUGGUGCCAGCUGUUUAAAAUAUGGAUGAUAUUGUUUUCAUUGCUGGGCUUUUAUUGAGUUCUACUUGGUCCAUGCAGUAUAAUCCUCAGACUCUGACCUUUUCUGGCAUGUGGGAAAAGUAAAUAAACAAGGCACUGAUGUAUUCCCCGCCUUACCAGAGGAGCUGAGCAGCAGCUUUUCACUUGAUCAUAUUCAGGUGUCUGGAAUUCAGAGAGCUGUCUGUGGGCGCCAAAGAAAGAGCUGCAAGAUUCCUCUUUCCUUGUGGAGAAGGCUGGAUGGGAAAUAUAGAAAUUAUUGACAGCUGUAAUCAGUGGAAAACAUUUGAAAUGUAUCGGCAUAUUUCCCACUGCGAGCAAAACCACAGGCUGUUGACCAUGAGACGUCUGAGCGUGAACUUUCUUUAAAGAUGAAGCUCUUUGUGGAGGUCGCAGUUUGGACACAUCAGAAUUAAAUCCGAGGAAAAGUGUUAUUUAGGAACACAUUUCUGACACACCGUGGCGAAUUAAGCAUUCACUGAGCAACAACAAGACAACGCUUCCCAAACAAAGAAGCCGGUUUUGGCACAAGUUGUUGGCGGCAUUACAUUUCCCUCCAGCCUCAGAUAUGACACAUCCCGCACAGCAGCCAUACACUACGUGCAUAUCACACCAAUCCCAGUCUCAUUGCAUUAUUCCACUCAUGGCCCUCCAUUGUUAACUCUUGCAUAAAUACAUAGAUAAGAAAAUGAUUAAAUUUAAGUCAAGUCUUCCUCGUUCUACACUGUCGCCUUAAAUCAUGCAUAAAUGUGAUAAUUACCCACACUGGGGCAAAAGGGCCCAUCACUGCCACUUUAAAUCCAAUAAACGACACGACCUGAUCAUUAUAAUUGACCAUCUAUCAGGGUCAUUGAGGAGUCCAAUGUUGUUAGCCGCCGCUUAUAAUUCCUCUUGAUCAUUGCUAAUUACAGAAAGUGGGAGAAACCAAUAUUCCGGAUAGUUAGAGAGCAGCUGCCAACCAUUUCAGGGAGGUAGGACGGAGUCAGUCACACGCUUUGUGUUUAAGACGCUGAGAUUUAAGGUUUUUAAGACCCUUUAUAUCAAUAUGUUGUGUGGUCCUGAAUCAAACCAGAUGUCAUCGUGUUUUUGAGAGUUUUCAGUUUGACUCCUCGGUCCUGACAAACUUAACAAUGUUACUAUUAAGAUGAUUAAGAAUGUGAAAUAACGUAGUUAGGAUUGAGCAAAACCAUCAACCAAAUCUAGUGAGUAAAUAAACGAAGCUUCACUUUGACUGAUAACUCACUCUGGAUUUUGGUUUUUCAGUCUUAUUUUUUUAAUCUUGGAGUGUGUAAAAUUAGAGUGUGUCUUUUAAUUAGGGGUGGUACCGAAUAUUAAUACAGAAAUACACAGUUAAAUUUGACUAAUGUGACAAAGUUAAUAUAUUAGGGCUGAAUGUUGAUAUUUAAAUACCAGUUAGACUCACUGCGUCACUAUUCAGUAACUCCUCAUGGUGGCGUAAUAACAAGAAGGAUUAAAUGUACAUUAAAUGUAAAACAGCUGUAUUUUUAUUGGUGUUUAUGAGCAAUUUUGUCUUGGUUUUUGCAUAAUCUAACCAAUCACAUUAACUUUAUCUGUGGACAUGUUGUCAUGGUGCGAACGAUCGUGUAGUUGGUUGUUGUAGGGCUGGGCGAUAUGCCCUCAAAUUAAGAUCAUGAUAUAUUGGGCAAUUUUUUUGGUAUUCAAGUAUUGGUAUUGAAGUAUUUCUGAAUAGACGAUAACUACUCCACAAGCUGCUCACCCCCUCCCACAUUAACUUCAUCUACUUCAGUCACCGCUCCAGCUGCUCCAACUUUUGAACCAUCCUCCAUCUUCUCACCUGUCUUCCCUUGUCUUAAAGGGACAUGAGACCAUCACAUCCAAAACCAACUUUGAUUUAUUUAUUUAUCUAUUUGACACCAAUAUGGGCAAAUGAUGUCGGUUAUUGUCGUAAAUUUCAGUAUCGGUAAAUUAUCAGUUCGCCCAGCCCUAGUUUGUUGUUCGCGCCUGAUAUCUCCAAUAAUAACAUUAGAAGCUUCUUUCUGACGAUGUGUUGAACUCCUAACUGAAACACAGGUACACACAGGUAACGCCCAUAAUAGGAAAAGAGCGCCGGAUGCAGUGGGACAACAGUGGAAAAAAGAUUAGAGAUGAGCUCUCAGGAAAUAACGGCGCGAGAAAAAAAAAUGUCCCUGCUCUUUAUGCUGAGACUGGAGGAAAAGUUUAGGGAUGAUGGCUCCAGAUUACAGAGAGUUUGACUCACCUGUGAGGGAUAGACUUGAUGGUCCACAGAGUCUCAUGUGACAAUUAAGCGGGUAAUGCAUUUUUAUGUACUCCAAACUAGUGUGUUACUCUAGACUUCUAGUGAUGCUUAUUCGGCAGAAGUUUAAGAGGAGAAGUUGACUGUAGAAGACCCUGCAGUGGUUAUUUACACAGAGGAGAAUAUCACUGUAACUGUCACAGAGACACUAUUUUAAUAUGUUGAUUUUCUGUAGUUCGCUUAUUUAAUUUGCAGACCAAAAACAGUUACAAUAUCUAAAAAUUCACUCGUCUGCAUUGCAUAAAACCUAUUUUUACCUUUUUAGAGUAUUUUGUAUGAUUAUUCCUGUAUUUAUAAUAUUACAUCCUUUAAUCUUGUUUUUUUUCAUUUCAUACUUUUAAAUCUUAAGAAAAACUUGUUAACAUGGAGGCAGGUUUAAAGGAGUAUGAAAUAAGGACUCACCUGUGCUUUAAAAACCCUGACUUGUAUUACCGUUUUUUUAGUAGUUUAAAUGAGAAAAAUGGAGCUACAGAUGUAUUAUAUUGUAACCCAGUUAACUCCAUGUUAUACUUUAAAGCAGGUUAAAUAAGAAAGGCUUUGGAUCGACUCAGGGGAGAUCAGCCGUCUGCUCAUGAAUUUCAUUUGGCCCUGUAAUGUUCUGCGGGUAUAUGAGGCACACUUAGCACUCCAUUUUUACACAGAUGUCACGUAUGCAGACGACCUCUAAUCACAUUUUAAAAAAGCCCAAAUAUUCACAUACAGUAAACGCAUAUUGCUACCUUUUUAGCGUUGCACAUUUUAAAAUUGCAUAACCUCUGCCAGCGUCUGCAGCCCGUUUCCCCCCGGUUCUGUUCACUGGGGCAACAAGUCACAGAGAGAGCGCUCAGUUUAUUGAAAUUUUAUGGAAACAGCCGUACCCCCUUUCACCACCACACAAUUACGUAAAAGCCAUCCAGCCCUUGUGUAACCCUUUUUAUAGUAAUUCAUUUAUGACUCCAGUCACAAAGGGGGGGCGCCUGUCCUGCCACAAACACCCUCAAACAUGUGUGGAUGGCAUGAAGAUGAAACCCACAAUACACACAAGGGCACAGCUCUCAUCAAGACAUUCCUCUUUUCUUCAUAAGCACGCCAUAAAAUAUUUCAUUCAGCCUUUUACAAUCGACUUGUUUCAUUACUAAGUUGUAGGUUUUAUUUCCACGGGCAGGAAUGACAUAAGCAAGGCUCAUUUGGGUAUUUCAAAAUGUUUCCUUGAUAGAAAACACGCCGUUACGACGGCUCCAUUUGAAAGAGGGGAGACUAUUAGAGGACGGACAAACUUCUUCGAGAAGCCGCAAAAGCUGCCAGAGACAGAGAAAUAAAAGCAAAAUGAAACAAAGAGUGAGUGAGUGAGAGAGUGAGUGAGUGAGGCUGCUGGAGUCUCUCCUGAGAUGAGUAUGAUGAUUGCAGCCACAUUCCUCUGCAGAGCUAAAACCCUCCGAGGCUUUUGGAUCGUGAAAACCUACUUCUCCUCUCUUUAUAGUACAACACUUAAGCAGCGCGCCACUUUCCUUUUUUUUCCACGCUGAACAUUGCUCACAUCGCUGUUCCCUGAAGCUUGAAAGCACAACAUUUCUCAGCCAGCAAACUCCCACUGGGACCAAAGCCCAGAGAUGGAAAAGCAAAGGAUAUGUUUUAUUGGACAGUUGCAGACAAAUAAAUCUAAAUAUGUAUUUUGGUCAUGUUUGUGUGCCGACUGCGUCCUGAGGGAGUUGAAAUGAUUAUAUGACAUAAAUAACAGUGCUGUAGCAUGAUAUUAGGUCACAUGUUUACAUACAGGGACCUAAGGUCAGGGGAGAGAAUAAUUCAAACACUAUUUCACUGCUUUUGAAGUGAACACUGUUUGGGUAGUACAUACAUGGUGCUAGGAGCAUUGCUUUGCAGUGUGCAUGGACUAUUAAUGAGAGAUGGACCCGUAGAGUCAGGUAAAACACACAUAAGUGGAUAAAAGUCAGAGGAGCCUGAGAGGCACAAAUCAACCUGUCCAGAGAGGGGGUGGGCGCCUGGGCAGGCGGUGGGUCACCCUGAAUGAAAUGGUUUAGGCUCACUGAUCUGCGUGAAGGAAAGUCAAUGGGAGGUGUCAAUGAGAGGGCAGGCGGGGACUCGAGCAAUCACAUGUCCUGUGAUUGACACGACCUAACCUGGGGGGCCGAGUGGGAUGUGGGAGUGGGGUGGCCCCCUAAUAUGGCCUCAGCUGACACCACCUCAUAGGAGCACAGUGAAUUAUGGGCCGGGAGUGUACUCUAGGUCAUGUGAUCUAACCUCCUCUGAUGUUUAAUUUAGCGGUGCAAACAUAUGCUUUCAUUUUAAUUACAGGUGAUAUUUUUUUGUGUAGGUCUUCACAGUAAAUCACCAAUCACUGCGAUCAUUACAGCGAGAGCAUUAACUGUAUUACACAGAAGUCUGAGGUUACCCCCACAGAUCAGAGGAAUUUAUGCACAUGCAUCGCCUUCUCCUUCAGUGUGUCCACAUUGUACCUUCUGAAUGGAGGCCUGUGAGUAAUGGCCGUACUUCAGAGUCAUCUUGAUGCAGUUAGAUGAUAUUCAGUAUUAUCAGCAGGAUAUCAGUGGUGGAAGUGAGAAGAUUGAAGAGUUCAUAUUUGGUAUUAGCAAGAAAAUCUGCCCUAAAGUGAUGCGUGAAUUAUUGCUUGUAAUUACAACCUUUGUCAUGGAGUAUGAGUUUGUGUCUGAAACAGAUAAAAAUAACAACUUAUGAGUUUGGAAAGUAACGGUGAUGUAAGGAGAAGCAAAAUAAUCCUCCUCUAAUGCUCCUUAUUUGAUUGAACAUCUCCAGAACAGGAAAGAAAACUUCCACUCCAGUCUUUGAGAUUAUUGGGAUUGAUAAUCAUGUGGUCCUCUGUCUGUGAUGAUGUUCUCCACAUCACUAUUAGCACUGGUAUCAACCAAAGAGUUGGUGUAAAUGGAAAAGUCAUAGAAAAUAUCGACAUAUCAAACAUUAGCAUAACCCUUUGUUGUACUUUAAAUUAUUAUAUUAUGGGACAUGUUACAAACACAGGUUUCAUGUAAAACAUUAAAAUAUAAACCACGAAAAACAGCUGAUAUGCAUUUGUUGAUAUUCUUUUAUUGAUCACACUUCAUGUUGUUCUUGCAGUUGGGUGAGCAGUAUUGAUAAUAUCAACAAAUGUCUAUUCUAUUUUAAAUUCCUUUAAAAAUAAUAAUAAAAACACGCGCUUGUGAAAGUUUCAAACUGCAGCACCUUGAUAUUUUAUUAGAGUCCGUUAAUGAUUUCAAUAAAACAACUUUAAAGAGAACAGCUGUAAUUUAUUAAUUUGACCUGAUCUGUUCGCUGAAGGACUCUGUUACAGGUUCCUGGGUGGGUUUUUGUUUUGCCGAUAUCUUACCUGGUUAGUUACGGUUAACCACUGACUUCUCUGUAUUUGUAUGUGGUGGUUAAUUGGUAGAUAACGAGGACAGUCGGUUGUCGGGUGUCUUUUCUGACGUAGACUGUGAGCUGGUAUCGUUUGAGCCAAGUGGUGUUUGUGUUUUUAUCUCCUAGCUCUGUUAUUCACAUUUUAGCUCAACUUGUAGCAUCGCAGUGUUGGAUUACUGGUGACUGCACAUGCUCAGUUGUGUGUCUCAUGAGGCGUGAUCAGAUCCAGUAAACGAGCGCGGACUCUGGGAGCGUGUUUCAAACAACGAUGAAAGUAUUGAUAUUUAUUACACCUAUUGUUGACGGUUUAAUCCCAUAUUUUCCUUUUAUGCAGCUUUAAAGGAAGUUUCUGUUUUAUUUUCUUUUGGUCCCUUUAACAGUUAUUGUUAGGCUUUAUUAAUGUUGGCAUAUUUCGUAUUAUUAACGAUCUACUUCCUUAGACUUUUUGCGUAAAUGAUAGUAGAAGUCAUCUGAGUUACUUCUGCUCAAUAGCAUCUUAACCAGAGGGGAAAAAAUCCAAACGAUUAUAGUUCUUAAUGGCCUUUAAAAUUAAUGAUAAAACACCAUAGAUAAUCUAUUAAGGGACUUAUUAUAUGCUGUAUAAUAAACGCUUAAAUGUACCUGUGAACUGGCAGACUUUCAACAUAAUCUCAGUUUUUAAUGAAGCAAAUAUUGAAAUAAAACUCUGACAUCUCCUCAGCCUGUUUCCCAAGGAUCCUCUAAAAGAACAAAAUAAAAACUCACAUUUUCUUCAAACUUCCCAAACAGCUCAGUCUUUGAAGAAAAAGCAAACUUGGAAAAUAAAAGUGGCAAACUGCACUUCAGAGAAAUCCAGCCUCCUUUUUCUAUCUGCCACCCGUGACAAGUGAGCCGUGCAGCUUUGCAGAAUUAUAUAGCUGUGUGUCUAAUUAUUUCUUUUCAAGUCCAUACAAUAAAAGACUGCAGGCUCUUUUUUCUCCUCCUCCUGGGGUGAGGACAGCAGGAGGAGUGCCCUCCAAAAUAUUCCCUCUCAUGCUUCUGACAUGCACAUCUGUCUGCACGUCAGCGUAACAACUUUCUCGACAUGAAAAAAUAUGGAGGGUGCAAAUGCAGAAAGGGUGCAGUGGUGACACAUUUUAGUUUCAUUGUGCGAAUCCAAUCUGAGAGACUUUCUUAUUUGUCUUAAUUAUAAAGUAAUGUAAUUUCUCUUUCAGAACAUUAACAUUAAAAAAGUCCUUUUUAGAUGUUUUGAUGCAGGUGAAUUUGUGUGUUUUGGCUGUGGUUUCAGUGUCUCUGUGUCUCCAGUGUUUCCUGCAUUGAGAGAAAGCUGUGGGUAAAAGCUCCUGCUGCAGUGUGGUCACAAGGGGGUAGCAUUGACACAGUUGUUUAAGCCCUUCAGCCGGCAGCCCAGCAGCAGCAGGACAAACUGCCUUUGAUGUAAUUGAGGUCUUAGACCUCUUAGAAAAGCAUAUAUUGGUUUGUAUGUGGAAAUGUUCAAGGAACAAUGGAUUUCCAUAAGUGGAUGUAAAAUCGUAUUUGGAGCAUCCCCGGCACGCUAACCGCUCUCUAAACAAUAGGAAAAAGGACUCCUCCAGGACGGGAUGUGUAAUUCUGAGGCACUUACAGGCUGGAAAUGUAAUGGAAUGUAGCAUUAGGAUUAAAUGUGUGACUAAAAGAUACAGACUUGACUAGUUUUGGGCCCUUUCCUGGGUGAUUCAUUCAAAUAAAUGUGCAGAAAUUCCAGCUCCAGCAGCACUAUACAUCCUAAUAGAAGUCAGCACGCAGCAUAAAAACACAUCUUUUUGUCCCUCUAUCAAAGGAAAUAUUAAAAGUAGAUUUCACUGCAUUGUGUAGAAUUACAGAUGUAUUUAUUUUGUAUAUGUAAUAUCAUUUAUUUAUUCAGCCUUGAGGAGGAAAAAAAACACGCUCAGAGGAAGGGCAGGAGAUCCAGCAUGUUUGGAUGAAGCUGUUAAUUAUCAAUCAUUCCAGCACAGCCACACAAGUAUUCCCCUAACUAAGAUUUUCGUCCAUCCAUCUUAUCAUCCAAAGUAAUACUUAAGAGCAGGAGUCUGGCGGGGACUCAUAAAUAAAGGUUACCUAUUUACAUAUUCAGUUUAUCAUGAAUAUUGCAUACUCUGUACAUAAAAAUUCAAAUGCAGUGUUUAUGAAAUAUGAUCAUGCAGCAAAUGUGAGAAGACACAGAGCACAGCCCAUUCAUACACAGGGGGGAUUUAGAGCACUCCUCUGUGAUUAAUAAAGGAUGAGAUCCACAUUAGACCUGCAGGAUUAAGACUUUGGGAUUUUCAGCCACUCUGGAAUUAUAUCAUAUAUAUAAACUCCCUGAUUUUAAGAUAUAUUUACUAAAUCUUUGAAUAUUUUUUACAUCAAUGUCAAUAUUCAAACCCUAUAUAUCUACAUGUAACUUAAAAGUAGGAGAAUUAAAUAACAACUGUAAAAUAACUAUGGUCACUUAUUUUAAACCUUCAAUUUAUAUUUUUCAGGCAGCAAAUCUACACAGUAUUGGUGUUUAAAUCUGGAAAAGUUAGUGCAUGAUUGGGGUGUAUUGACUGCUCAGCUUUGUUUGAUGCUGAUGAACCCAAAUUAAGCACGCAUUAGAGCUCCAAUUUCAUUAUCACAGUAACAUUUGCAGUAAAACAGAUGGCCAAAUUCUACUUUUUUAGCAAUGCGAUGAAUAAGAAGUACAUUAGAUAUAAAUAAGCAGGGCUUUUUUCAUUUUACGCCAGUCCUAGUUUAACUGCCAUACUCUUGGAUGAUGUGAAUGUAAUGUGGUGAAGUUAAAGCAUCGACCCUCUGUUUAUUCUGUGACCAUUUAGUAGAGAUGCUCCGAUCCAAUCCGAUACGAUACCUGGGCUGAGGGUAUCGGCCGAUAUCUGAUACCGAUUCAAUACUACUGUUGGAUGAAUGAACUGUGACAUUGCACUGUGAGUGAAGGGGUUAGACUUGACAAAAAAAGGUGACAAAUUAACACAGAUAUAAAUUUAUUUAUCAACAAAUAACAAAUUGCACAUAAGCAUAAAGCAAAAGGAAGUCAGACUCCCAUGUAUUAAAAGAAAAACUAAUUAUUCAUCAGAUAUCCGAUCCAGUUAAUUUGUCAAUAUCGGAGCCAAUAUCCGAUCCAAAUAUCGGAUUGGUGCAUCCCUACGAUUUAGCGGUUAAAAUUGCCCUGUGGAUGGAGGACGGACAUGUUGCAAACACAGGUUCAGGUUCAGGUUCAGGUUACUUUAUUAAUACCCGAUGGUAGAUUUGUUCUGUCGUGAAAUAAAGCGACGACGUCCAUUUAUACAAGUUACAGUACAAAUAUAAAACAACCACAAGACAGAACACAUGAUAAAAGCUCCCCAAGGCUCCCCAGUCAGGACACAAGAGAGGGAGAAAAACGCCAAUAAAGAAAUGCAAAUAAAUAACCCAAACAAACAACCUCUGGAUACAAACUAAGGUAAAAACAAGUUUAAAACCAACAUAAAUAAGUAAGUAAAUAAUACCUCUGCAGUAUGUGAUAAUUGUGCAAAAUUAUGUGCAAAAUCUCUACACACAGAAAUUAAAGCAGAUAAACUUAAAAUCACGUCCACUCUGUAGUUGUUUAUUUAUCCCUCUCUAAUGUCCAUGGCACAUCUUCACAGAACAUGUAGUCCUGGACUAGUGCAUGCAUGUUUGGCAUGAUAUAAGACGCACGCACCUCCACACAGACACACCUUACAUACUAAAAAAAAGAAACGGCUGUUUGGUUUGCACAUAAACCAGCUGAGGGGAAUAAUGGCGUAAAGAAGCAAACAGUGUGCAGCAAGUGUCUCAUCUCCCCCUCAUGAACUAGUUAACCCGAAAGAAUACGAUCUACAAAUGUGUUUCAGCAAAAGCAAAUUACCUGGGUUUUGUGGAGGGGAACUAAUCUCUCCAAGCAUGACACUGGACAGGAAAGGCCUCUUACUGUUAUUAUGAUGUGUCGGCUUGUGUUAGAUGGAGGGCCUUGAUGGCCGCAUCAGGAAGCAGCGUUGAAGCCCCUCUGCCAUGACAGCGCUCUGAUGGAUGUACAGGUGGUGGAGGGGCAGGGAAGAUGGAGGUUAGAAAGCAGGAGAUGAGGAGGAGAAGGAGGGUGAUAUGAGGUGCAGCGGGGGUUAUAUACUAUAGUAAAUACCUACAAACGCAGCGCAUUAGUAGUAGGUGCAGAGCCCGAGAUAGCAUUAGCAUGCACGAUAAAGCUUCCAAUUGGACAGGCCAUCUCGGAAACAAAAUAAAAGCCCUGUGUGGUGAAUUUCCAAAGGCUGUUCCUUAUGACCUGAGAUGAUUUGUUCUCUAUAUGAAACAGACUGAUGAUAACAGGCAAUCUGAAAGUCAUUUAGGAAAUCAAAAUAUCUGUACAUCAAACUCUGACACAUGAUGCAGCGCUAUAGACUCCUCCGAACAACACUACAGCGAACUGAGAGCAGUGACUUUGGGAGAAUUAAACCAAACAGUCAAACUAUCUCAGGAACAAUAAGCUGUUUUAGUUUGACACUUUAAGAGAGCGGGUUCGAGACAGUCUGUUCCUUUCCUGCAGAAACAUGGAGGAUAAAUUAAUAAUUCUAAAUCUCAGUUUGUUUGACCAGUUAUCCUCUGACUAAUCCACUGAAAUUUAUAUUUAUUAAGCUUCAGAAGUUGGAAUAUUUUCUCAAUCCAUGAAGGAAAAAAAAUCAUCGGUUAUUUAAAUCCAUGUUUGGAGAAAGAUAUUUCUCUCUGGACAGCGACAUACCUGUCUUCUCCUCCCUGAUCUGCAUUACUACAUGUAACCUUGUCGACUCCACGUGUGCAUCAUUAGUCUGCGUGUGUUUUUGUUACCACAGAAGUAGUUUUGUUAGAUUAUGCUGGUGUGGAUAAGAAACGCUGCAGACACACUUGUUGGUGCAUCAGGAUGUUUUUCUGCCUCGCACAGUUGGGGGUGUCUCACUCGCUGUAUCCACACUAAAAUAUUAAUAGCCGGUUUUUCUCCACGUCAGCAGGUUGUGAUUUGAUUUCUGGUUCAGAAAUGCAGUUUUGGGCGGCGGAUCUCCCACUUCCUCCUCACCCUACUCCUCCGGGCUCCCAGGAGGCUCUGGGUCAGUACGGUGUUAUGGAGAAAGAUGGUGCUCCUCCUUGGCCCGGUAAAGAUUGGGGGUGCCGCCUCACAGCGGGACAGGUGUUGCGAGCCGCACACAGGGGAGUAUCACCGGGCUGCAGCGAGCGCCUGGCCCACAUCCAUCUCUGUACCUUUGGAGACAAAUGGGAAAAUGUGACCCAAACAGUCCAACAUCAGAGCCAUGGCAGGAGUGAGCUCUAACAAUAGGGAGCAGCCAGGGUUCCCCAUAUCAUUACUAAGACACACUCUGCAAUUAAUUCUCUGCCCAAAUGAAUGCUGACUGCUUGCAGCACACCUCUCUGUGGCCAUAGAAACCGAUUAAUAAUGCAGAAUGGGGAGAAUAAUCCUGAUCAGAAUCCUGCUGCACUGAUAUAAAACCGCCUUCAUUUCUUGAUCAACAUUUUUGUCAUCUUGCAAACCCGACUUUUUGCAGCCUUUAUUGUAUAAAAUGGUGUGAUCUUUCCACUGCCCUUUGUCUUGGAAGAAAAAUUAAUUCUCAUUUGCAUUACCACGUCUAAAUGUCAGCCACCGAUAUUUUGUUAGACAUUAGUAAAGCUGGCAGCGAGAGGCGCUGGAUAAUUGCACUCAGCCUAGCAGAGGGAUUUACAUAAUUUCAGAUAGCAAUUAAAGAAUCCUUGGGAAUUUUCUUCCUGGCCUCCCUCUCUCUUUCUCUCUCUCUCGCUCUCUCUCUCUCUCCGGCUCACUUCCACGGCGGCACAAAAGAAGCAUUCGUUUACAUUAAGCUCCAUGCUCCUUGCUGUUCAUUUGCAUGAAAUUAAAGGUUUUCAUGAUCUUGAACAGCGGGGUAACAUUUAAAAUGCUGUUUUAAAGCCCUCACCUUGGAAUAAUGAAACGCUUCAAUUUUUUUGAGAAGGCAGUGGGAGUUCAUUGACUGCCUGUCCACAGCAAAACUUUUCCAUUUCCCCUUCACUCACGCUAAAUAGUACAAUUAUACUUCUAAUUAAUUAAAAAUCCUGAAAGUUUUCUUUUGUUUUGGCUUCCCGAGGACUUAUUCUUCUAUACUCUAACUAUGUAUAUCAGUAUUUUACUCACCUGUCAAGCCCUUUAUAUACAUAUGUAUGUAUAAAAAAGGUAAUCACUCAGUUUAGUGGUUAUUAUAUUUAAAAAUGUGGAUUUUUUUGUACAGCUACCUCCUGCAGUAUUGACAUCAUUUGCUUUUAUGCCUUCCACUUAAUUCUGCAUGCCUUGCAAAACAACAUGCAUGCACACAUGACAUCAUACAUCCAGAGAGGCAGUCAGCAACUGAGGAUCUGAUCAUGGCGGACAGGAGACGGAGAAAUCCACAGUGAGGCUUAAUUUACAGCAGAAUGAUGCUAACAGUGCAACAUGUUAUUACGACAUGUUAUGAAGCUGCAGAGAAGACUGAAGGCUGGUGGUGGUACUGGCUCUGCUAGGGUUAGCCUCUUAGUAAACAAAUUCAAUGUCUUCAUGAACAUUUUUGUGAAACUAGUCCUGCCUCCAGUCUGUCUGGAUAAGAUAAGAUAAAAUAUACCUUUAUUAGUCCCACAGGGUGAAAUUCCAAGAUUACAGCAGCAUAAAUACAAAUACAAAAGAGAAUUAAAGGAUAAUAUAACUGUGAAUAUUUUCUGUAAAAACAGUUAAAGUAAUCGUGCUGUAAAUCUGGGUGUGACUGUACAGACUGGCAGUGAUUCAGAUGAGCAGAAAUGUAAACAGACAGCAGCAUGAAGAGGAAAAGAGACACUCUUUAAAAUUAUAAUUAUAAUGACCGCUGUAACUGCAGAUGUUCAAAACAUCAUUUAGUUUGUUUUAAACUGAGCUGCCAUCUUUGUUGUUUACAGAUAAACCCAUGUGUCAUCAUAUUUUCACUCGUUGAAACCCCGCCCCCUUUUGAGAUGAAAAGGGGCGGGGUGGAGUAAUAUCAGUCCACCUGCCAUAAACAGGAGUAUGAGCUUUCUAACAUCAGGCCUCUACCUCUCACUUUUUACCAGACUGGUCUUCAACAUGGAUAAUUAGUUUAUUUUAAUUAAUUAGGGAUGCACAACAUUAGAUUUUGGACUCGAUCAAAACAUAUAUCACUCCAUUUUCUUCAGUCUCCUUGGAAAUGCAGAGAAUUCAGUGAUUUUCUUCUUAAGCUCCUUUUUCUUUUGAUGGUCGCCGCUUUAUUUCAUAUAGAUUAUAAAUAUGAUAUUUAAUUUUACAUUUUAGUGCAUUAGUGUAAAGACUGUCUUUUCCCUCCCCUUCUCAACACCUGUGCGAUUUCUCCAUCUGUUUCCAACUCAUUUAAAAUUCUGUAAUGCUGAUAUUGUGUUGGUAAAGUUGUGCAUCUGUAGUUCUUUUCUGAUGAAAAAUAUCUCACCCUGCUUCAGUCAGAUAUAUCAAUAACUGUCGAUACGUGCUGUAAAAACAGUUAAAAUAAUCUGUCUGGUUUGCCACCUCAGUGAUUAGGAUUGUAACUAAAGAUAUUACAGUUUUAGACUUUUUCUGUAGUCAUUGCCUUGUUUGUUUUUUAGAUUCACUGUUAAUUCUGUCUGUUUUAAAGCCAGUAAAAAUCCCUCACAGGAGCUUUAAGUGCAAAACCAGUAAAGCCAUGUCAUAAAAAAUCACGUAAUAUUAAUUGAUUAUGAAGCGGUGCAGAGAUACAUAAUUUCUCUAUGAUUUUGGUAAACUAAAAGUUAUUAUCAUAACCAUCUAUCAGCAUAAAAAGGGAAAAUAAUACAGGCGAUUGUAUUUUGCUUGAUGUGAUGAUAAUUUUCAUUUGGAUAAUUGUUGGAUUGAUCCUUUUAGUUCUGCUGUACAAUACUGUAGAGAAAGACUUUCUUUAAUAUGUCAUAAAUACAUAUUCUGAUAUCUGCUUCCUGCCAGUAUGAAAUGAUGUGGGGACCAGAGCUGCAGAGAUAAACCUCUCACAUACAUAUCUUUAAUUAGGUCCCUGUGGGUCCCGGUGUUAUCUGCCAUGCUGAUUAGACCCAACAUUAACUUGCUUUAGCCCUCAGUCUGUUAUCAUACGUCUGUGUGUGCGGUGACAAGAGCGCUAAAAUCGAGCCGGACAUCUUUUUUUUCCUGUGCGCGUUUCUAUUUCUUUGAGCUGGAAAAGCACACAGCUUUAAAUCCCUCACGCUUUUCUCCGUGUGGCCCGGAUGACACAUUUGAUGCGGGUACGGAUCAUCAGGAUUAGUUAAACCAGAGCCGUCCUUCGGGAGGUCCGCGGCGGCUAAGAAGUCCAGAAUAUGACUGUACUUAACAUUAUUGUGAGUUUGCAGCUCUCACUUUGCCGUUUAAUCAGACAACUCCGCAGUGCCAGCUCUAUGAUCUAAAAAAGCAGUCGUGAUGAAUAGCAGCUCUUUGUUAAGACAAUAAAAGCUUUGUCACAGAGCUCCGAAAUAAACACAAAGCCUCAUCUGAACAAUACCCUUCACACUUCUUCCUUGAUUCCCCCUCCGUCCUUAAAGGCAUCACAGAACAUUUUCACACUAGUCGUCCUGCCGCUGUGAAAUAAAUUGUGACAGUAACUCAAUAUGAAGUGAAAUAGCUGAGAAAGCCUUGAGUUCACUUGCGCUGACAGUGCUGUUUAAUUCCAUCUUGUGCCAGCCUGACAUUUCUGCUGCCACUAAAUAUUAAACAUGUGUACCCGUUUCAUUUGCAUCUGGUAAUGAGGUGGGAGACAGCGCCCAACUGGUCAAGCUUCUCCCUUCUCUCUCCUGCGCUCGUACCUCCAACACUGCCUCAUGGACAAGGGUAAACCAAGAGAAAUAUUUAGAGUGGAGCUGAGACAGAAAAGGAAUAGGAAAAAAAGACGAGGGGAGGGGGAGGGGGACGUGAAGGAUAGAGCACCCUUGUGUGUGUGUGUGUGUGUGUCAGUGCGUGUUUGUGUGUGUGCUCUCCAGAAUUCAGAAACCGGUCUGAAAUGACCCCGGCUCUCAGGCAGCGUCUGCUUUGGCUGACAUUUCUCCCUGAAUCUUUUAAGAUGCAUCCCUUGCUGCAAAAUGCAUUAGUGGAGAGAGGAGAAACAGAGGCACAAGAGGAGAGGGUUAAAUGUGAUUGCUCUAAAUGUCAUCACAUCUUCAUAAUGCAAUAUAUAUUCAUGAUCCGGCAGUCCAGGAGGGCAGACAUCACAGUUGUGUUCUGUAAUUCAAAUGUUUUAUCCCAAUUUUGAUUCACCGUACAAUUCUGGGAGGACGGUUUGAACCGAGGUGUGCAUCCGUUUCUUUUUUUCAGGUGUUAUUUAUGUGGAUGCAGCUGUGGCGUCUGAGGUGAACGCCGCGUGAUGUGGUGUUAUUGGAAACGCUCAGAGAUGCACACAGAACAGGAAUGCUAGGUUAGCUGUUAGCCGUGUAUCAUCUGUUUACGCUUCAAAACGAACAGAGGAAAACAUGCAAACAGUGAACUUAAGGAGGUCAUAGAUGAUUUUUAGAUAUUAACAAGAGGUCGCUUUUGAGGAUACAAAGAUGAAAAGGAAUUGCACAAGGGUGAGAAUACAAUAAUGCUUUGAAAUAACAUCAUGACCGUGUUUUCUGAAGUGAUCUGUAUCGGCCUUUUAUUUCACAGAUGGCCAAUAAAAUUACUCAAUCAGAAGUCUGCGACUCUGCUGCCCGUUGUCUUUCUCCUGGAUCUAUUUUAUUGCAUCACUUUUUGUCACCUAAUGUCCCGCCCACAACACUAUCUGACCGGCUAUUUAUCCGAUUUUUCAUGUUUUCAUCAUCUACAAAUGAAUCACUGCUCAGAAGACGAGCUGUGGACUGACCUGCUGAGGGGGUGGGAAAUCUGAAGUACAGAGCAAACUUCACAAAGUAAAUCUCUUAGGUCACUUUGAAAUGGUUUAACUUUGUUUGAUCUCAGUAUUUACUCUGGUGUUUUCACUUAGAGAAGUAGUAACUAUUUAUAUCUUACUGUUAAGAAAACAUGAGCAAAUAUAAAAAUUUUACUAACGAUAGUUUUCUCUCUUUUUUGAGUGAUGCACAAUAUUGUCACUUAAUGUUAUUGUCAAAAUCCCCCCAAAACAUAAGGAUAUUAUUAUUUGUCAAUAUCACACAUUAUGCCAUCUGUGCUUGUUUACAUCUGGAUUGUAGAUCAUAAUGGCAUUAUGGCAUUUGCUGAUAACUAGCAACUCUGAAGUUUAAUUGAUUUAGAUGACUCACAGAGAUCUCUGCUGGUUGGUUAUAGUAAUGAUAAUAACUGUAACAACAAACAGUAUCUGCAAUACCAACAAAGAACUGAAUGUAACGGUAUUAACACUGAAAAACCUUUUAGGCUGGAACUUUACAGAAUCAUAAACUAUCCCAGUAUCAAGUAAACUAUGAAUUGACCAGACAGUGAUACUGGACCGUUUUCCAACCAAUGUUUGAAAUCACAAACCAAAACAAUAGAUGGAAAAAGACGGACAAUUUCACAGCUAUCUACUAUCCAUUCAAAAGCACAAUAGGAUAUGCUUUUUAGGGCAGUCAAGAUUAUUACAAUAUUCGCCAAUCACAAUUAUUUUUCAUAUUCAUGAUCACCGUCAAUUAUUCAUUUUAUCCACAAAGUUGCAUAAAAUAAUCCGAGUCUGACGUCAUCAUGUUGCGCCAGCAGUCACAGCAUGCACUGUCACCAUCGCAGCUACACGUUGUUUACCUCUGUGUUUCGGAUUUAAGCUGAACGAUGACGGAGAGCCCGGUAACGUGGAGGAAGAGAUAUAUAAACUUUGCCAUAAAAACAUACCGGUCAAGAGCGCUAACACGACAAAUCUGAAACAACAACAACAUCUUGAAGGUACUUUACAACAUGUCUUUGACUAAAGAAGUUAAAGAAACCUUUUGUCUGUCAGUAUUUUCUAACAGUUUUAGCCCAACAGGCAGAAAUAAUGUGAGUUUGCCUCAGUGCCUGCCCUGAUGCAGCAGAUUGUUUAUAAUAAAUCCUCUUAAGAAGUGGAGAAGUUAGUUAAUGUCUUUGCCUAUCUCCUGAUGUUCAAAAAGUUAUUAAAUAUUCAUUUAGGUGUACAGUACAGAAUAGUCAGUGUAUAUGUGUUAUUAUUAAAUCUUAUUACACUAUGAUAGUAAAAUAUAAAGAAGGGAAAAAAUGGACAAUAGUAUCGUCAAUCGCAAUUAUUUGUCUGACAAAUAAUCGUCUCCAGAAAUUCCUAAUCGUGACAGCCCGAAUGCUGUUAUCCUAUUGUGGAAUAUAAACGAAGAGCUGAGAUAUACGCAUAAGGCGGGAAACAGAUCCACGACCACAUUGUCUUUGCAUGUUAGUCAUAAAUCUGAUGUUGUGUGAUUCUGGUUUGAUCAACAUGUUAACACGUAUUUUAAAGUCUAGUUCCAGUCAGUCAGUCUGUAUUUUAACAUGAUUUAAACACAGAGACUAAAAAGACUUUAAAUAACUAUCAGUCAUUACUCCAUCAUCGGACACUCUGCCUGCUCUAAAGUAAACACAUUUACCUUUUUACUGUUGAUAUCUCCUUCUCAUAAUUGGCUGAUUUCAUGGCGCUGAUGCUUGAUUCUGAUUCUUCAUUGUACCAGUCCUGUGUUUACAACAGAGGCGGCAGGUCCUCUGAUGUUGUAGAAUAAAAGCCGAAUAUUCCCUUUCCUCUGUCAGCCUCUCCUGACAGUGUACAGCCACUUUGAAAAGAAAUCAACAUCAGUGUAAAGGAAACUUUUACACAUUCACAUUAUUACUCGUGUGUGACUUCUUUAUUUUAUGUUUUUUUUAUUUAGUUUGAAAGGAGAUGUACUUCUGUCAUUGGCCUGUUUGGCAUCCCCACUCUACAACAGUUAAAGUUUAGAGACACCCUGCCUCUCUGUGGGGGCUUGUAUUGCUUUCAUAGAAUAAAUCAGAUAUGUCAGAGGAAAUCAAACCUUGAUCAAAACCAAAGCUGACUGUCGAGGAGGAACAGGAAACAUCAAAGAGCGUACAGUAGAAAGGCAGGGCUGGUUGAAGUUGGGUGCGUUUGGUUGCGUUUGAGGCGCAGGGAUGGAGGAGGAGGGUGGAUGUGUGUGUGUGUGUGUGGGGGUCCUAUUUCUUGUUAAUUCUCUUCAUAGGAUCUGUGGAGCACAUUCAGCAGUCAUGGAGAAUCGUGUCCAGUCACGGGCCUCCGGUGGGACUGGGUGUCCUGAGGUUUACUGUUGCUAGCUUGUCAUGUCCACGUCAACAGCACUUAUCGCCUCCCGUCUGAGCGCCGAGACAUUUCCCAGGCAUUUAGCUGCCUGUUUGUCUUCUCUUGAUUUCCCCUCCAAAUCUGUCACAUAUAGUCUUCACCUGACACCUCACAGAGUGUUCCUCUCUCAAACACUGUCAAAACACGCAGAUCCAGCAGGAAGAGAUAGCAGCAGGGAGCCGCAGAUUGCCAAAUGUUACACACUGAUCAGGCGCUGCGAAUAAUGACCUGCGUGGGCAAAACGGUCUGGGAUCAUUUGCUUCAUCAACACGCCGACUGCUCUCCAAAUAAGAAAAAAAAAAAAAGAACUGUUUGUGUUCACAGUUUUGGUGUUGCAGUUCAUUUGGACUCUGAGUUAUCAAGUGCCGCUUUAUUUAUUCCGUUCGCACAUUGUUCUCGUACGUCAAUAACACCGAGUCCAGAGUUUUCACAUCACCGAGACUUUCUCUGUCCUUUUCUUUUCUCAGAGUAAAAGUGCUGGCAUGAAAACAAUGCUCUUCUUCUUCUUCACAGCGAAGAAAAAAUAAAGGCCUGGCCCGGAAUCAAACGCUCCUCUCUUUUUGCUGCAUUUUUCUCUCCUUGGCGAAAAGCCCUUCUAUUAUUUCAAUAAGCUCUGGGUUUUAAUACAUUAUUGAUCUUAAGGUUGAACUACGGGCCACUGCAUUACCAGGACUCCAAAGCCCAUCAUGGCGUGACACUCAUGUAGUCGUGAAAAAUUAUACCAAUUAUGAAAUCAACCAACAACUAGCUCAAACAGCAAUCAAUUGUCACAUUGGAAAGCAUUUUGUCCCACAAUGCUAUUGGCUUUGUGGUUACACAGAAGGAGUGGGCGUUGGAUGUUUAAUGACUUCCAAAUACUGAUUUCUUUCUGUUUUUUCUUUUUUUUUCAAACACUUAUUACUAUUCACUCUGAAGCCAGCCUUCGAUUAUGUUUGAUGCUCUUUGUUGGGCGACCGUGUGCCAAUAAGACAAUAGCAUUAGCCAUUGAUUAGCCAUAAUGAGCGCCAAGGACUCAACACCGGCGUGCGCGCUUAAAAGCCUGCAUUAAGCUUAUGAAUUAUGAGAAGUGUACUAUAUACCAGUGCAUUAGGAAGAGAUGUUUUCAUUCUAAUUCUGCAAAUGCCACAAAGCUGGCCGAGAGGAGAGAAAGCCAUUUCUGGAGACGCUAAAGUGGGUGGUGGCGGGGGUGUAAAGGCGGCUGAGUGCUGGCGGGGUCAAGUGCGAGCCGUGUCUUUGACAGUGGCUGCCUGCCUGUGUUUCCAUAUCACAACGUUCAAUCAUGCAGUGCCCUCAUGCAGAAACCUUUAACUCAAUGCUCAUAAAUGCAGGCAGAGCUUCGCCGUCUGCAACAACCGAGUAUUUGUUGUGGUCACUGGGUAUUUUUCAUGGUUGUGCUUUCCGUGCUUAAUGCAAGGAGAAAGUAUUUUUCCAUCUGCCGAUAAAAGGUCAAGUCCAGUCAAUUUUUAUUUAUACAGCACCAAAUCAUAACACAAGCGCGGAAUAAGAAGGCGCGCAUUAGGAGAUUUCAGCCCUCAGAUGCUCUCCGCAGAGAGGCAGAUUGGGUAUGAAAAAGUACAAUUAAGGUCACCUUUAUUGUUUCCAAUCUAAAUCGCAGGUGUGACAUCUAAAUGACACUUUAAUGAAAAUUUCAGACAGGUUAUUUUGAAUAGUUUCCUAAAAGAUGCAGGAGGUUGAGCAGCGGUGAAUUGUAAGUGUCUUUGGGGGGGAUGUGUGUGCCUUGACGGGCGCAGGAAAUCUGAGCCAAAUAAAUGAAGUGGAGAUGGUAAUACAGUGUGUUAUAGCGGAGAGUGACAAGCCCGUUCCUCCCAUGAAGCAGCUGAGCUGGCAUUAAACAGACAAGACAUCCCGUUCAGUCAGUUAUCAGCCCAGGAAUAAUGAAGGAACAGGCCGGCGGACCAGGACGAGUCACCCUAGUCAGCCAAGUGGAGAAUUUAAUUUCGUGCAGGUUUCUCUGCAGCCAAGCAUUUCCCCCCCAUCGGAGGUCCGCUGGUGCUCGGGUGAGCGUGGACAACUCAGUGCACCCGACUCGGAGUCUCUGCGGCGCUGACAGAGAUGUGUGGUGAUGGAUUUUUCGAGUGGCUGGGGGAAGAGGGUGGACUUAAGUUUGGGAAGGGCUGUUAAAGAGGAGAGAGAGCGAUGACAAGCUAACUUCAGAGAAAAGUAAAAAAGCGAUCACUCGUGCUUCUCAUUUUCCAGAGAAUGGCUGCGUUAUUAAAUCAAAGACAGUGAAAUGAGAAAUGGGUCCUGUCUGACCCCGAGAUAUGUAGGAAGGAAAUAAUAUUGUCUGUGCUUAAUGUUACCCCUGCUCCACCAACCACUACUCCACCUGACAUGGCCACUUGGCCACUAGAUUUAAAUAUCAUACUGAAAACUAAACAUUAGGAUAUCUGCGGCAUUUAUCUUCCUGUUUUAUCUCAAACCUGAGUUCAAACAUCCUGCAGGGUUAAGGUUUUUAUCCCUGAUGUCUUUGAUAGAAACAGAGUCCAUGUCUGCUUGUGUCUUCAUAAUGCAUCACAGCCUUUUAGAAACGCUUAUUAUGUCCAAUUUCAGGCUUUGUAUUGUUGUUGUGAAACAGUGAGACAGCUGCUUUUGUACAAAGUCCACGUCCACAGCUCUUUUAUUUUUCACCCCCAGAAGAUGUUCCUCACAUAUUUAGCUCAGGAUGACUCUCAAUGCUGCACACGUCCUCUAUUUUUGUACAAAAUUAUCACUGUACUAAUUUACCGAGGCCAAGAGUGUCAUACCGUGGUCAGGUUAUCGAUGGCAGCGCCCUCUGCAGGAUCAAACAGCUGCAUCAUAUUUUAGACAGACUAUUGCGCCGAUAAACAGAAUAUUUUCAGUUUAGAUUUUGAACUUUUCUGGACUCUAAAUAAAAAGAACAACACUGCUGUCAAAACUAGAUUAUCUCAAUUUGAUAUAUGCUGUAUUGCUUCAGUCGUAGUCUUCUGUUAAGACAAGUACUGUACAAAAACGCUGCCAUGUUCUGUGUAACACAAGUAUAAAAGUGAGUUUCCGUAUCUUAGAUUCAUUUCAGAGUUGAUGGAGGUAAUUUUAGGUGAGGGUGAUAUUAGCACAGUAUUAUUAUCAGACUUUGAGGAUUUUAAGUCUCCGUAAACAAAACUUUUACUUAAAUUAACUUAAAUGUUUUACUUUCAAGGACAAAACUUCUUUUAAAUCUGUGUCUUACAGUGACCACUCAAAAAAAAAAAAAGAUAAUUAGGGGAAAUAAAAAGAUGUGUUACAACAAAAAAAGAUCAAUUUUUGUAAGUAUACUUGUUCAGUUUGUUUAUUUGAAACACCAUUAGCUCUCACAAAGUGGUUGCUAGUCUUCCUGGGGUCCAAAAACUGAAAAUCGCAAUACAAUUACAUUUUAACAAUUAAUUAACAAUAAAUACAAUUAUAGAUCCAAUUCAUGAUUCUUCACAACAUUAAAAUCAUUCUAAAAUCAAUGCUCUUUUUAGUUCAUUCAUACGUACAAUUUGUUUUAAAGUCCUUUUAAGAUAAUAUCUACUGUUUAUUUGCUGUGUGCUCCUUGGCAAUUGAUUCCACAUUUCUAAAGAUCUAAAUAACACUGUUCUCCUCAUACAAUUGGACUUUAUGAAUAGAACAAUUAAAUAACCAGAGUGAACCUGCUGAGUGACGUGGUGAUGACAAUAGCCACUGAGUUGAGUUUGUAAGUUCUGGCCAAGAUUAGGAACUGACGGAGAUGCACAGAACAAAGCUGCAUCAUCUGCAGACAGUAUUACAUCCACAUUCAUAACAUCAUCAGACAAAAACUGAGAAUAAAAGUGGACCCAAACAGCUGCCCUGUGGAACUCCACAUGAUAAAUAUUUGUGAUUAGAAAAGCCACCAUUAAAAAAGGAUAUCCAGUAUAACAAAAAAGGGAUUGUCUCUUAUUUUGAAGGAAUAGUGACAUAUAGAAGGUAAAGUUUUGGCCUGAACAUGAUGAGACACCCUUCAUCCAUCUCUUUCCCUCUUCAUCUACAUUAUUUCUCUUUUGCUUUGUGACCUUAUGAUGGCAAACGUGUGGAAGAAUUUGUGUCGCUCACGAUAUUGAAUAGAAACUGUGACGUUGUGAGAAGUUUCUUUGUGUAAAAGUCCAAAUAAAGAUAAAUGUUGGACUUCCUUUAGCUGACUUUGUUUCAAAUAUUUGAUCAUGUGAGCUCUCCGUCUUUCCAGCGUCUGAGAAAAUAUCGUCUCAUCAGUGAUCCCAUAAUCUGAGCUCGUGCUCGGCUUUAGUAAAGACUACGGCUAACAUCACCACCUCUUUUCAUACAUUCAAUAUUUCAUCACACACUGUGUGGAUAUUAAGAGGACUGAUCUGGCAAAUAUUGAUCCUAUCAGAGGGAAAUAUCUCCGGAUUAGAGAAGUUGCUCAGAUUUGUUCUAUUAGUAGUGAUUCGAUCUUUUUUUAAACUUGUAAAAAGAAGAAGACAGAGAUAAGACAUUAGAGGGCCGUCUGUGCUGCGAAUCUGUUCACUGCUGCUGCUGCCAGGUUAGACUCACAGCCAAGCCUUUGUGUACAAACUGUGCUUAUAAUGACUGUGUAAAGUACGUGCCUGUAUGGAGGCUUUAUCUAAAUAUAUCUGUAUGUUAGUGUUGUCUUGCUGUUUGUUUCCUGUUGCGGAUCAAACGCUGGCUUCGCACCAACACUGUCCACUCAUUUGGAAGCAAAGCGAGCGCCUCUGGCUGCAAAGACCUGCCCAGGGUUCAGGUUCUUAAAGCGGAAAUAAUUGCAGAGGUGCACGCUCCAUUAAAAGCAAGUAUUUAAUACAAUAAUCAUUCAAUUAAAAAUCCCUUGUAGCAGCUGCCAUGGCUGAUUUGGAUCAAAGGAACAUGUUAUUUGUGGUACGAGGCGAUUGUUCAACCCAAAGGCCACAAUCUGGUUCUUCUGCAGAGUAAUGUUUGACUGUACCUGCAGACUGUAACGUUACAAAUCUGCUCCUGGUGGUUCUUCUUCUGUUGUUUAUAACUAAUGUUUUAAGCCAAAUAGUUAAGAGACUUUACAUCCUGAUAUAUGCAAAUAUCUAAUAUAUUAUUAGUAUUAUUGUUGUUAUAGACCUGGAGCAGCAGUAGAUUUCCCUUUUUUUCCCCUUUUUUUAAGGAUGUGGUGAUAGACUAAAAACACGAUAUGGUUUAUAUCACAGUUCUUUAGAUCUAUUUAUUUGUUUUAUUUAUUUAAGAAAGCUCUUGACAUUAUCACUAAAUGUGUUUCACUACCCUUUGCCUCGGUUACUUGUUGACAAAAUGGUUACCAGGACUUAAUUUUCGAUUGACAGUUGUGCUUUUAUUGUGAAGGAGGUACUCCUGCAAAGUGAAGUCAGUGACAACAGCUCGAGGACUGAUCAGCUCUAAAAAAAAGUGUUUGAGCUCUACAGCAGAAGCCCUGCAGUUCCCUGAGCGUCCACUUGGGGCCAGAGAACGCUUUUUCGAGGCCAUAAAUAAUUUGGCGUAAUUAAAGGUGUGGCUGUUUUGUAGGGCCUGACCGAUAUGGAUUUUUUGGGGCUGAUGCCGAAAAAAUACAUAUGUACUGUAGAUAUACUGUAGACUACUGCUCUUCAGGCCGACAGGAAGACCGGCUGAUGAAACUCGGGCCAGAAAAGCGUUUUCAACUUCAAAUUUCACAAACUGGUUUAUUUACCGUUGAGGCGGACCACAUCCACUGUGAGGUAGUUACAGGAUGAAGAUUGUCAUGAGGUCGCUGUAGCGCCAUCUACAGGAUAACUUUUCAAAUGGUGAAAAAAAAGCGAGUUUGACAACAGUCACAACAGAUUAAGACAGAAGAGCUAUUUAGACAACGCCAAACUUUUUAAAAUGAGCUCUUUUUAUUUAAGUUUUCUCAAACACAGAAACUAAAGUACACAUAACUAAAGGCUGGAGUCAGUUAGUGUAAAAGUUAGUGUAAAAAUUAUUUAAAAAAGCAGUUAGCAUAAAGAAACAAAGGAAGCAUGUCUGAAAUAUCAUAUUAGAGGGUUGGAGUUCUUUAGGAUGUUGUGGUUAUCUCUGAACUAGGAGAGCAGAUUCAGUGUUUAUCAUCUUUUAUCAUCUUACUUUUAUCCUUUUAAGUUCACAUUUCAACACAAGUAAUCCUCAUACAAACAAGAUGCCUUAUUAUUGAUCUUAUGGAGCAUUUCCCUUCGAUAUUAUUAGUGGAUAAAACCUCCCAUUAACACCCACUAACUCUGCUCUCUGAUCUCCAGUCUAAUCAUUAGAUGUUUCCAGUUUCCUGUAGCUCGCUGGCUUUCUCCCAAACUGCGUCCAUGUAACAUGAUAAUAAAGUCAAACUGGGGUCAGAUAUUUUCUGUAAUAUAUAUAAAUGAUAUAAGCUCAGUAGUUAUUUUUACUUGAGAUUUAAAGGUUAAAGAAAAGGAUAUGAUUUUUUAUUUUUUAUUGACACAUGAUGAAUAUAAACCAGAAUCCUCUUCAGAAACACACAUUUAUAUAUAUGUUUAUAUAUAAUAGUAAGUGACCAAACGGCCUUUCAGACUGGAAACAUCUGACAUUAUGCUGCUGGUCUGCAUGCGAGCCCAUUCCUCAUUACAGAGGGACGUCGUCUUUGUGUUUUUUAUCUCGCUUGGUGCCUUUUGAGCAAAGGAGCACAUUACAGCAGGUCUUUGUUUUAUUGUGUUCAGCAAAUUAAUAAAUGGGAAGCACAGAGGGAAAAAUAGAUAUGAAAAUGUGUACUUUGCAUUAUUGAAAAGCCUUUCCACUAAAGGUUACCAGCAGCUAUUGUGGUACAAUCUGUGAAAUGUAAUUAGACUGUGUGUGUGUGAGGGAGAGAGAGAGAGAGAGAGAGAGAGAGAGAGAGAGAGAGAGAGCAGUGCAGAUAAAGCUGCCUCUGCCAUUAUGGACUCCCUCAUAACAUUUUGCUUCCCCCUGAAACUUAUUCUCUCUGAACUAAUUUUGCAUGACAUAUUGCAUUUCUGCUUCAGCUAUCAUGAGGAUACCUGUGAAUUAAACCCCGGCUGCAAUACAGCAAAUUUUCCACUUUACAUUUUUGGUCAUGCAGAUGUCACACAGUUUCUGUGAUUUAUUAAUUCAAGGCAGACAAAACUCACAACAUAUCCUCCAGCUGCUGCUGCUGCUGCUGGAGCUUUGUUUGUGGAUGCUGGUAUGUAGAGGAUCACAAGGGUGGAGAGGUGAGAGAUCAGGUGGAUCAACAGAUACAUACAGGAGAUUUCUCUACAAGGGGAUUUAGACACAAUGGUAGAAAAUGAAUUUCCAUGAAAGUAACUCCAACAUCAGGAUGACUGUUGUUUGUUUGCAUUGCAGAUCUAUAGAACUGAGUAGAUGCUAAAUCACGGAUGGAUUUUAUAUCCCAGAAAACCAAAGAUGUUAAUUAAAAAAACUCAAAUAACCUCUCUUUUUCUUAAAGUAUCUGGAUAACGAAGGUGAGAUAGUGAUGAAAACAACCACAAAGUAGGCAGUGGAUUUAUAAAAAGUAUUUAAUUAGUUUUGACUUCUACAUAUAAAGCUAAUUGCUUUUGCAGGUCGAGUUUUGUCAGAAAACGUCAUGGUAGGAUCCGUUUCCUGGCAACGUGUAAAUCUGAGCAGGAGCAACACUUAUAGACUUAUAGAUUACAUUUUAGAGAAUGAACACUAGAUGUUGCAUCAAAGCUGUACGAACAUACUGGACAUCUAAAGUGUGAGACUCUCUUCAUAUCAUUGACUGUAUAUCACAGCCUGUGCAUGGUGUUCACUGUCUCCUCCUGUUGCAUAAAAUGAAGCCAAAAUGUCACACUCAUAUAUCACACUCGUAAUUUGAUUGUGUUUUUUAACAGUGUUUAUAAAAGGCUUCAGACUCACGUUGAUGCUUGUUUCAGACUAACAUGUUUAUUAUCCGUGUAAUGAUGAACUCUUUUAAAUUGUGUGUGCGGCUCGCCCCUAGUGGACACAGUUUUCGGCAGUGAAGCAUCGGCUUUGUUUCUAAAGACGGUGUGCUUCAGAAAUCGUAUUUGACGUGUUAUUUUGGCCAGUUUGACCCGUGCGUCAUGUGUUGGCAUACAGGGGAAAGGUUUGAGAUAGGGUGACUAUAUUCUGAAUCCCAAAAAAAGAGGACACAACUACGUUGGUAGGAGUCGUGGAGUCAUGCAUGUUAAAUUUUAGGGUUUUUCGGGUCGAGUGUUUUUUAUGUGCUUUUAACUCAGUCAGUCCAUGAUACACAAACUCAAAUCUUCCAUACAAAAUCCUGAACAGUUGAAGGAUUUUAUAAACUCCCCUGGACAAUGGCGAACAGCCCCCCAAAAAGAGGACAUCUCUGGGUAAGAGCGGACGUAUGGUCACCCUAGUUAAAGACCUGCACUGCAAUCCGCCACCAGAGGGAGCUCUUUAAACUUUAGCUUCAUUUCAGGAAAGCUGUUGGACUGUUAAAUAUUUCAUACAUGUUGUGGUUUGCAUUAAGUGUCCUGCAGGUAUUGAGGCUAAGGCAACAUAAACAGUUAGAUUAAAGUUUAUGGUCUAACCGCCUCUUUGUGUGUUUAAAUCAUUAAUUAGCAUCAAUCUUUUAUUUUUACAAUCCUGACAAAACAAAAUCCACUCCAAUCUAAGUGAGGAGCUUCAUGGUCAGGGUAAAAUUUCUGCAGAUUUACGUACUGUUAAGAUAUGUUUACCUCUAUUUUUAUAUCACAGUGUCCGAGUUUAAAUGCUUUAUUAUUAGAGAACUGAUUAUUGAGCUAAGGAAAUAAAACAAUGCUUCAGUUUAUUUGAAAUGUAUUUAAUCUGAUUAUUAAUGUUUCACAGUGGGUAAUUUGUGUGCAGACAGAUACGUAUAUUAUUCUCAUUUGUGUAUCUCUAAGCAUUUGGAUCAUCUUUGCUUCAGUCUCUGGUUUUCAUUCCUGUACUCUUGUUGAACAGUUCCAGAUAAAUAAUCUCUGGGAGUCGACGGCAGCAGCAGGUAUGAUAAAAAUAAGAAUACGUGUUCAUGUAUGUUGGAGGCAGUCGUCUGAAAUUUCGAUCCCAUAAUGACCCAUUGAGUUCCUCCUCCAGUCCUGCUGUUCUCAGAUAAGCCGGCUCUUCUUUUAAUGGCCCCUCACCAUGAAAAGAGUGAUAAUAGCAGCCAAGCGGGCCAAAAGUUGAGCAAAGAAGAAGAAAUGAUUAAGGAACCUUAUUAAAAGCAACCUUGUAGAUGCAGACGCGUGAUGGAGAGCACAUUAUGAGGCCUGAUCCUUUUCAAAUGACACCACGGUUUCCCGAACACGCUGAAAAACCUGAUUAGGGUGACAAGCACUGAGUGAUACUGCAAACCUGUUAAUAACAUGAAAAUUAGAAGGGGCUCAUGCAAAAAAAGGAGAUUAAUUUAGCUGGAGUCCAUCUUGCGCAAAUUGCGAAGUUGUGAAUAUGUUUUCAGAUAAUGAGCCUUCCUGCUUGUCAGCUCACUUGUCAUUUUCUGUAAUUAAUGUUAAGGAAGACUCCUUCCUGAUGGUUCAUAUAACUCAUGUAGCAGGGAAAUUUCUCCCCAGAAAUAAUUUACAUUUAUUAUCAUCAGUCUGUUUGUGUGGUUUAUUUCACAGUGGAGUAAUUUAUUGCAGCACCAUUUCGCUCGCCUUGAUUAGUCACUCGUCAGACUGAGAUGUAAUUUUUUUUCUUCCUAUGUCUGAGACAUGGAAAUUGAAAGUGUUUGUGGCUCAGCGUGGCACCUCCACAGCUCUACCUUUGACUCCUUUUCCUCCUUUUUUCCUUUUUUUUGUGUCUGUUCUCAAAAAGACUGUACUCGGCGCCUUCAACUUACAAAUAAAUGAAGAUUUCUGCUUUACAUUAUCUCAAAUACACCAGGUGCAGCACUUUAUUUAACAACAUCAAACCGCCGUGACUUCCUGGAUGAAUUUUCUUUAAAUUAAAGACCGUACUUUGUAGGAAAAAUAAAGGCAGUAUAGAUGAUAGUGCCUCAGAGUUAUAUCUAUUAUUACAUCUGAGAAGAACUAUAUUUUAAUUCAUCAUACGGCGCUGCUGAAUGUACACAGAGCAUUGGGACUAAUGAGAUUACACAUUUGAUUUCUUCACCCAGUGAAGUUUAUUCCCCCGUGUCCCCACAGAUAGCGAGCAAACAGAUUUACCCCCGUGUGCUGCGACCAUAACUCAAAGAAAUAUUCAUUUAAGACACAUAUUUAAAUCAGCCUUUCUUAGCUACUAAGCUUUGCUUUUCUUUGUGCCAGUAAAUUUAUAAGCCCACUUCUUAAAUGUAUUAUUCAUCCGAGCAUGUAAAUAAUGCAUGCCUGCUUCCACAGUAAAUUAACCCUUUACCUUACCAGGGAUACAGGAGUCAUUGUUUUGAAAGGCAAUUAUGUCAUUUAAUUAAUGUUGUAAUUAAUACUGUAAUUAGCUUAAACACCCUGCAACCGGGUGCCACUACUAAGCUGUCUUAAUUAAAGAGAUUGAACGGUUUCAUAUCUUUUUUUUGCACUGUCACGUUGCAGGGUGCAGACUAGGAAUAUCUCAUCUUAUCUGCAGAUUUUAGAGCAACUUUUUUUUUUAAGCAUGAAUAAAGUCAGAGCUGGUUCACCGACGAUACGAGGAACAAAAGGAGGAAAAAAAACCCCAAACAAAUCCCUUCUUUAGGCUUGUAAUGUCUAAACUACAGCUGUAAAUCCUCUCUGUGCGUCUGUGUAACCUGCCCGGUCACAAUCUGAUACUCGAUCACAGAGGGAGUCAUUGUCUGCCAAAAUUAUGAAACAAAAUAAAUCCAAUUCCCAAUCCGGCUUUCAAACUAAAGGUAAGGGAGCCGUGCAAGAAGCCUGUGUUUUAUUGCUGCGCUACAGCGGCGAGAGCGGGCAGACAGCUAAUCCGCUCGUAGAGAGUUUUUAUCCUUGCCCGAGCUGACAGUGAUAGAAAGUGUUUUCCCCAAACUAGAAAAAUAGUUGAGAGAGGAUGAGAAAGCAAAGAGGUCAGAGAAUACUGAAGGGUUUCCACUCAGCUCCACACUGGCUGCAGGUCCAGCUUUGUAUUCAUGCGCUGUGAGCAUCCGUACAGCUCAUCUAUUGUGCAUGUGCGUGUCAGGAUCAUUUCUGAAGCCAGACGCCUCAGCACUAGCAGGAAGCAAUAAGGAGGAACUCCCUGCUUGUAAAAUUAAUUCCCUUUAGUAUGUCAGAGUGUGGCCGAGGAUGCUCAGAGUUAGGAGGGGGGCUGCUGGUGUUAUAAGCUGCUUUUAAUGCACAUUUCUGCGUCCGUGGGGGUCGCGUUUGCCUUCGAUUUCCUCCCCACAUGUAAAUAUUGUGUAGAAAUUUGGAAAGCAUGAAUAAUUGUCGACAUUUUAAGUGAAUUUGCAACGCGUAUCGUGUGUGCAUCAGUGGAUUAGGCCGCCUUUCUGUUUGGUUGCGAGUGAUUUUAUCAAUGUCAUUAGACCAUUCAUUGAACUAAGUGAGGAAUCCAUCAAAAGCUGACAGGAAGCAGCAGACUAAUGGCUGUUAGGCUGUAAUAUUCUUUAAUAUGAUUUUUAUUUGCCUUAAUUUCAUCUUCUUUUACACAGGUCCCAAAUCGGUAGAGAGCUGCUGAACACCUGAGCACAUUUCCUCAGAGCUGCACAGAGGUGUGUUGCACGUUUCCUGACAGUAGAGACACACGAAACAAAUCAGGAGUUUAUUUUACGUCAACGCAAAGCAGGGCGGCAAUUUGUGCACACGCUGCGCGACGCCUGCACCCCCGAUUUUAUCUCUUCAUACUCCUCUGCAUCCGCAGCCACCUUCAUCAUGCACUUUAACACUCUAAAUUAAAAAUAGCUCAGCGGGUUUCAAUUUUGUGCUGACACAAACCUAAUUUUACACCUCCUUUCAGUAGUUUCCCCUGUUCUUCCACUUCAUAUCCUCUGACACAAUCAAGCACAGCCCUGAAAUUGCCUCAAACAUAACAAAACAAAUGAAAUGGAAAUUAAUUUUUUGCAACAGGAUUAUCUACCCGUGUGACUAUUAUCUUUGCCUGCUGUUUAUCUGCGGCAGCAAAAGGAGGAGAUAAUUUUACAAUUAAUGGCAGAGGAAUCAGAACCCUCCUGUAAUCAUUGGAUGACACAUCCUGAAGAAAUAGCCCUUCAUAUUGCCUUACCCUGGGCUUCAAUAAUCUUGACCCUGGGUAUUAAUGGAUGAGUUAAUGGCCUGCAGAAAUCCUUUAAUUUAUGCCAGGGUGAAUUAAGAAGAAGUAAUGGAUUCUGCUUUUCAAAAUGUCCAGACAAGGCAUUUCCGUUCAGCCUAUCUGAGAAAUCAAAUUAUCAUAUUAUCUCUCUGAAUGGCUCUUCUGAACCCAUAUUUCACAAUAUCUGAUGGAAACAGUUUUGACAUUCAUUACAUGACUCUUGCUUUAUUGUGACUUGCUACUACAUGCUUUGACAAAAGGAGGAUAAUGAUUUUCGUGCCAGUGGAGAAGAGGACGGACAUAAGGGGGAGAAAAAAGCGGAUCGGAAAUGACAAAUCAACUUUCAGCGUCUUCAAUGUAAAUACAAAUGUAAUUAUGGAAGUGUAAAUUGGUUUGACUCUCUGAGGAGAGGCCACUGCGCUUCAGUUCUCUGUUUUUUAUGAAUUUACAGAGCGUUCGACAAUGAAAGAGAAAAUCUUUACAAUAAAAACUCAGAAAACUCUGUCAGUGAAUCAUUUAAAGAUAUUCAGACACUUUUUUUCCAGUGACCUUCUCACUGGAAACUUUUAUUUUUCCUUCUCCACUUUGAUUGUUUCCUCUUGUUUCUGUGUUUAUCGUUGCGCUUUGACUGUAUUCGUGCUGAACUACAGGAGUAAGUUUGUGAGUUAAAUACUCGACAAACUCUGAAGUUAAUGAAUAUUUUAACUCUUAACCUGGUUUGGAAGAGUAGUUGCUGAUAUCACUUUUUAUUGGCUGAUAAUGAGAGAUCUUGCUGGUCGAUGGUCGAUAUGUAACGCUGCUCUCCUCUUGUUGGUGUUUUUUCUGCAUUUCACAACAAAAUAAUUUAACAUCCUUAACAAACUGCAUUUCCUGUUUCUGGCCUGAUUAAUUACCUGACCGGUUAGUCUGACUAUCUUAAGUUUUGAUGGUAAAUACGAUCGGCCACCCUAACCCAACCUUCCUCAGAUUUUUCUGCAUUUCUUCUGCUCUUAACUUAUUUUGUGAAUCCAUUUAUGACAUUUAGUCUCAGUCUAAACAAAGUUCAGUCUAGAUGAUUUGAUGAGAAUCUAUCAUAAGAAAAACAUGUCUACGCUGUCCUUGUAUCAUUGAAACCGCUGCUUUACAGGAAGUCACUCUACGCUGUAUUUGGAGUCACUCUCUGGGUUUUUAGGCUACUUUUCAUUGUUUCCAUAUUAUAAAGUUUACAGGGAUGCUUUUUCCAAACAUACAAUACAUUUCUGUAACUGUGAUUGUGGGUCCACUCAUCUUACUGAACUUAAGUCCAUGUGAGUUAAAAUUUUCAUAUUUUCAUCAUAAAAUAUACCAAGAAAUCGAGUUUAUAAACACACGUUAACCCUUUUAUGAACAAGUGAAAGCUGCUCGACUCAGUUGGACAAGUUAAUGGAGUUAAUCCAUGUCUGAGUAAUGUAAAAGGACUUCUGAAUUUCUCUUAUUGUUCUGAAAAUUGAAGCAUGAUUCUAGAAGCCAAAUAUGUUGAUGUGAUAACCUAAAAUGAAUUGCAGUUCACUUUGUACGCCUUAAGUGUCGCUGUCUUGUUAUCCGGGCCUCAGGAAUAAAGGUAGAUACGUCACUGUUGUGGACAGGUGAUUGACCCGGAAAGUGUGGCGCUAAAUGCUGGUGUUGUUUGUUUAUUCAGUGUCGCUCGAUGUCAAUUAAAAAUGGACUUUAGUAAUGUUCGUCACAAUGAGUUUUUAGUUCGCUGCAUCAGAGGAACAACAUCCGGACAUUCACUGAUCCGAUCCAGGUCAAACAUCUCAGUACCUUUAAGAAUCGACUUAGCUCCUACAAGGACUUGAAAACAUCGGUACACAUCUGAACUGUGAUUUUUGUGUUUUAUUACACUGCUGGUAAACAGAAGUGGUUGACUGAUGUCAGGUUUCCAAAGAGCACCUCAGUUACAGCCACAGUGACAGUCAUUAUUCUGUCAUUAUAGUGGGUUGAUUUAUAAAUAGAGAAACACAUGUGGCUGAUAUUCAUGUCAGAGAUGACAUAACACUCCUCAUUUCAUCAUGACAGAACAGAUAUUAACUUAGUGGUCCCAGUUUGAUCUGAUCUGCUGUCCUGGAGGAUGUAAACAUGUGGGACUGUUUCAGGGGAUCACACUGAAGACAAAGUCACCAAUAAAAAAAAAAAAAGUAGUCUAAUCACUAAACUCCAAUUUAACAGUUUUAAGUGGCCAAAACUUUAAACUUCAUUUUUACAAACUUUUCACAGACCUGCAGGAACCUUUCUGUGCCAUAGAGCAGAAAAAAAACCUCAUGAUCUUUUAAAAUUUCAUUUUCAUUAAACUGAUGUAAAUAUUUCAAUAUAUUGAAAAUUAGCCUCAUUCACAAGUUAAAGCAGUGUUUAUCGUGUCCUUGUGUAAGUUAGUGCACUCAUUCAUUAAUGUAUAUUAUACAAAACAAUGCAGCUGUUAAUGUUAAUGAUAAAGACAUGUAUUAAACUUCACACAGGCUUCAUAGAACACAGACUCCUCUGCUUUCACACUAAUGCAGUUUUCUCACUCCUGACGUCACAGAGACCUCGUUAUGAACUCGUUAUUAGUCAUUACUCUGUAAACUUGUAUGGCGGUGAAAUAAGAGGAGUGAUUUUCCACACAAAGUUUGAUCUGAGAGUCGAACACGGCGAGGAAACGAACGCAUUAAAAACAAAGCAGACAGACGCGGUAUGAAGAAGGAAGCGCAGCGUCAGCGUUCCUCAGACACAGUAGGAUUUAUUGCGGCGCACUUAUCAUGGACGCCGGCUUUAAGUCGUACAGGUAGUCCUAAUAUACUGAGAGCGCCGUGUGCAUUAAUAUACUUUAACUUUCACAGACACAGAGAGAGAGAGAGAGAGGCACACCUCUGCACUUCUCCUCCAUUACAGCAGGCCUGCUGGGCCCUGUGGAUUGAAGACCCUCUUGGGGGGCUCCACAUUCAGCCUCUGCUUACGGCCAGCCCCGCAUUUUUAUUGGAUGAUGUCAUCCCGGUGUCACGGCGAAGGAGAAGUUUGAUGCGAGCCGUAACGCUGUCAGGGUGUAGUCCUGCGACGACGAUGAAGUCAUGCGCACUUAUUUUCCUUUAACAUAUCACUUUGCUCCUCAGGUUGUGCGAAAAUCCUGUAAGCGAACCUGAUCCUCGGUGACCCCCCCAAACCCCCGACACACACACACACACACACACACACACACAGACACUAAGACUGAACUCGCACAUGCUGUCAAACAGAAACACCACUCUGGCAGUUAUUUGGGGUUUGUUUGUAAUCUUUUCGGGCGCUUUGUCAGGCAGACGCAGCGAUAUUAGUGUGAGUGCACAAAAGCCCCCGAGUGGUGUCACGCACAAUUAAUGUCCCCAGGUAGCAACUCCAUUAGUCUUAUGAACUCAAGUCGCAGCGGGGAAUGCUAAUGGUGGAGGUGCCGUGGGGCAUUAGGGAAGGAGUGCAGCCAAAGCUACCACUUUACCCUUCGAUUUGACCAGCAUGCACCUCCAUCUCACUUUAGAGCCCCGCAACCGACACCCCCCAACCUCGACACUUAAGCGAGACACACUGUCAGGUAGCGAGCAGCCUCCGAAGAGUCCACUGGCAGUGCGUGCCACUCACUCACACAGCUGUGCGCCAUUCCUUUUUAAUGAUCAUUUAUACGUCCCCGGCAUCUUACCCAAAUGUCUCCAAUUACAUAACAGCGACGCCGCGAUAUCGUGUCACUCCGGCGGAGGCUUUUUGAAAGUCCAUAUUUUCUCUUCUACGUGACAACGCCUCGGUGUGGUUAAUCAUUGUCGGCUUUCAUAAACCUUGACUUCCAUCUCGCCGGCCUCAAAUCCCACACGCUCACGUGACCUCCUCCACUCCAGAUCCCCGGCCUGACCUUGCUGGUGUAGAAGCGUGGAGCGGUUCAUUUGAUCUAACAGGCCUACAGCUGAGCUCAGACCCAGCGCUGAGGCCUGCUGCCCGCUCCCUGUGCUCCAUGCCCACUCUAGCAUGGAUGUAUUUAGGAAGCCUGGUAGCUACCUUUACAUCACAGCUCAAUAGCAUCACGUUGCCUCUGAACCUACAUGUCAAUUCCGUGUCACACAGUCCACGGAGCGAAAAAAGAGGUAGAGGUGGUGGGUGAUAAAGAGCGAGCUGACAGAGAGCAGAGCGAUGGAGGGGAGGGAGAGAAACGCUGGUAAUUUUUAGGAGAAUGAACCCACGCCGCUGCCGCCGCCGCAGAGCAACCUCCACCAGGGCAUGAAAAACACAAGCGCCGCCAUGACAGUGACUGCAAACAGAGAGAAGUCACUGUCGGCCUAUUCACAGCCUUUAUUACAUUAUCAAUUACACAUUAUAAAUGUACUCCACACGGCCUGCUUCCCCGCGCCUUACUCCAUCAUGUUGGGCCGUCAUCACUCAAAGUGAGGCCCACACGGGAAGGCCGGCGGAGCUCUCCGGUUCCUGGGCGCCCUCUCACCGUUGCCGUGGAAUGCAGUGGCUGCUUUAUUGCUUGUGGCAGUAAUUGCACUUACAUUUGAUGCUCUUUUGUUGGGAUAAACCCCACAGCUGGCUCUCCGUUAGCCGCCAGUACGAGCCAAUAGAGCCACGGCGCUUCCUAACCAUGUGACGAAUCCAAACGCACAUCUUUAACCAGCUGUUUCUUCUUUAUUUUUCCACAUCCCCAAGUUUGAACUGUUGCAUUAAGCUGCAGUCUCUGAUUUUACAGCCUUCCUUUGAAUGAGCCGAGCAAGUGUUCGUAUUGAUUUGCACAUUAAAUAUAUUAGUAAUAAAACAACAUCCUGCUGCAAAACAAUUGUAAAAUCAAUAGUAAUUGGAACCAAAAUAUUAUGAGUUCUUGGUCUGCAGUCUUAUUGUCUCUGUAACUGACCGGUGAAAUCCUGUGUGUUUGCGUGAUAAAUGCGAUAAAUAUUGAUAACUACGUCAAAUGAAUGUAUGGCUGUAAUUCUGAGAGCCUAAAUAUAAAUUGAAUAAACUCCGUUCAGACCGUUCAGUGAUGGAAAAGCAGGAGGUUAACAAACCAAACUGGAGCUGAGCGCAAUGAACUUGUACAGAAACUCGAAUCGAUCCGCAGAAAAUGAGAAAACCUCAGAGGCACGUGGAGUUUAGAAAUCACAUCAGAGUCCAAACCUGAUCAUCAAACGUAAAACCUGCUGUCAGAGAGACCGCCGGGUUUGUUAGGAAGGAUGAGACUUAAACCUACAACUAUGACAGGGAUAUGUUACUUCUAGGGUGGCACGAUUAAUCAGAUUAUUUGAUUAUGAUGAUGUUAAAAAAAUCAAAAUCCUCAAAUCGAUUUCCCUCUCUAUCGUAGCUUCCCCAGUUCCCACACACAUCAGUGUAAACAAACAUGGCGUUUGCUAAAGAAAGCGAUAAUUUCGUGGUUAAAUGGGACAAGAGUGAGUCAGUCGUGUUGAAUUGGUACGACUUCACAUUUUAGACGAAGAGAAAACCACUCCCCGCUGCAAAGUCUGUCUGAAGGCGGUAUCAACUCGGGCCUGACCGAUACAGAUUAUUUGGGGCAGAUGCCGAUAUGAGAAAAAAAUCUGAUUACCGGUUAAUCAGCCGAUUUUUAAACUUUUUUUUAGACAGUUUUAAAAUUUUGUUAAUUUAAGUAAUAUAUCUACAUAUUUACUUAUUUUUUUAACCAAUGGCUGCUUUUGAGCCUUUCAAACACGUCUCAGUAGCAUUAACCAGCUGCCUCAGUCAGAGAAGCAGCUCGAUCACUAAUGUGUACUGUUGUUUAUUCUACCGUUACUGACACGGCUAACAGUGAAGCAAGGCUAAUAGCAGGUGGCUAACACUAACUUUAGCUCGGCGUGACCGAGACCAGCACAGCGGGGAACAUGGUGAAGUGGGUUGAACUGAAACUUGUUGACUUAUUAUGUUUUUCACAAACUGGUUUAUUUCCCGUUGAGGCGGACCACUCUCCUCCGUGCGUCCCUGAGCUGCCUGCUUCAGAUCCGUCACUCUGCUGUGCCGUGAGGUAGUUAGUGAAUGAAGAUGAGGUCACUGCACCAUCUAGAGGAUAAGUCGGGGAACUUUUCUAAUGGCAGAACAUUUUCGAAAUGAAACCAAAUCUUAUUCUUCGCAUUUUAUUUCUUAAGAUAUCUGCGAAAAUCAGUGAGUUUUGGCCGAUUACUGAUUACUCUCAAACGGGCUAAAAUUGGACGAUUUAAUCAUCUCGUCGAUAAAUCGGUCGGGCCCUCGUCUUGACAUUAUAACUGGCCUGUUUACCUGGAUGCAUAAUGGACUAACUCUGAGCCAGCUGAUAUCAUGUUUCACUGAACUGUUUGGACCACAGCACCUGAGGCGUCCGCUCUCUGUCCUCGCUGACUGAAGCUUUGGGUUUUUCCCUCGAGACACCAGAGAGGUCAACAGAGAGAUACAGAGAGGGAGAGAGAGUAACAGCCACACUUUAUGACUCUUAUUAUUCUCAAUCAAAAGUAAGAUGAUUGUUAGACACACACACACAGAGUAAUAAGAGGUUAGAACAGUUAUCAUGGAGCUACAGUGACCAGAAACAGUUUGUCUUUUAAAAAUAAUCAGAAUAUCACAAUUAAAAGAGGAGAUGGAUGAACCCUCACAGUUUAGUUUUGGUCCUUCUGGAGUUUAGUUUGGAGUUCUGGGCUAAGAAAAGUUGAGGAUGAGCUGCUCAGUGUAGGAAAUGCUGUGAAGUGCUAAAUCGACCGGCUGAUCUCACCAACCUGCAUAUUCCCGAUGUUAGAGUCCACCUUUAACGUUCAGAUAUAACUUCACUCGUCAGAGGAAGUGAAUCCUGGACCUGUGAGAGAGAGAGAGUAUGUAAGCAGAGAUGUACUCUAAAUAGAAAGGCCCUCUUCUCCUCUCCCUCUCCUCUGGUGUGGGAUCCCGUGGAGCAGGAAAACAAAGCAUGAGGUGUGUCUUAUUCUCCACAGAGUGCCCUGGGGCCAAGGAGUGAGCUUGCUGCCAUCCUGGAGGCUUUGAGUGCUUUAUAACAGUGUACACAAAGGACUCGCUUCCCACAGCCCGGUCAUUAACAAGUGGGCAGCGGUGAAGGCAAAGCCGGAGAGGGGCCUUCCACUGUCCUGCCACCACACCUGCUUCCACAUUCACAGAGCCAGAGCGGCCCCGGCAUGAAGGAUGACUUGUAGUGUGCUGAACUCCAGGGAAAGGCAGCCACCUCCCCUGUCUUGUUUGUUUGAAAAUUGGAGAGUUUGUGACAACAGUGUUCAGCUCAGGAGCACGAAAACAGCUGAAUCCUGCAGCUUUGUCUUCAUCAGGCCCGUCACUGCAGCGAACACACAGCUUUGGUGUGUUUCAGCUCAUUAUGUUCGGACUUAGGCGGCUUUUUGUCGUGUGCAUUUACAUGUGCUGUCUCUAUAUCACUGCAGUUUCAAAUUCAAGCUUCGUGUUUGACGUGAAAAAGACAAAAUAAUCUGCAUCCAAGAACCCAUACUAUAAAAUGUUAAAUCACACUUAUACUCAAAGAUUCCUGCUAGUAUUUUCUUAGUUGUUCUUAUUUGUUUGGUUUUGCUGCAGAAUUUCUCAUGAUGGAGCCGUGUGAACUUGCAGAAAUGUGCAGAAAUGCAGGUGAAAUGGGCAGAAGGCUCUGUCUGCAUCUGUGUGCAUCACCUCCAGUGGUUUCUUCUGAGUGUCGUGAUCAUAAACUUAACACGACUUCUUACAUUUAACAACAAAAUAGCAAAAAUCUGCGUAUUUCUCUUCCUCUGCUUAUUGAAAAUCUAAAUCCAGGACCUUGUUCAGAGUGGCAGGUGUGAAUAUGAGAGGCAACAUUUACUUCUGACCAUUUUGGAUCAAAUACCAAACCUGCUAUUUACCCAGCGAACAAUGUCAGCGGCCGCAGACACAUCACAGACCGGACCGGACUAAAUUUUGAUGGAUGUCAGCUGGGACUGCUAGACUUCAGCUCAAAGCCGAUAUGUGACAUUUACUCACAGAGUCUGCUUGCCGGCCAGUCACAGUGUUAUGUAAAUAGCACACCUGUCCGCUCGCUGACGGGCCGGCUUAUGGAAAAUCUGUCUUUUGGGGUUGAAAAAUUGUAUAAGCAGAGCAUCUGUGAGAGUGUUUGGUCAGGGACCGUAUGAAAAUUAUUAAUGUAGGGGGUGGGCUAGUUUAUUUUAUCUUUUAAUACCCUAAUAUAACAAAAUUAACGUUGUUAUUCAAGGUUUGUAAAAAUACAGUAUUUUGUUUUUAUGAGAUUUAAGUCGUUACAUUACGAGGAUGAAGUUCUUGGCCGAUUAGCCUCAUAAUGCUGUUUUAAAGGCGGAGAUUAUAACUCUCAGCUGUUUGCUCAUCCUAUUAGAGUCCUGAUUCUUCAAAUAUUACUGAUGUGCAGACAGAUCUUGUAUUUCAUUGUUAACAAAUCUUACUAAAGUACAAUUUAACCAGACGCUCCAUGUUCAAACAGCUGUCUGCUCACCGUGAACCAAAAUGACCACAACACGAGGACUCUACUCUCGUAACAUCACUUAAUUUUUGUAAUAUUAUGACUUUAUUCUUGCAACAAAACAACUUAAUACUCAAAAUCUUUAAAUAUAUAUAUAUCUUAAAUGUUGCUAUAACACUGGGUCAUAUGUUGCACAAUGUUGGUCAGACAAAUUAUCUGAUAACAGGAAUAUUUUUUCUCUUGUUAUCCUGAUGAAACAGAUUUUUUUUAAAUGAAAAAGAAAAACUGGUAAAAGCUGCUUUUAUUCACUCUUAAACAAAUCCGAAACAGUAGGUGGCGCUAGGGGUGUCUCCAGACAACUUUUUUAUUUCCGAUACGAUACCGAUAAUGUAGCCUUCAGUAUCGCCGAUACCGAUAUUGAUCCGAUAUUGGCACAAACUUGUGCAUGACAAGUUUUUCACUCAGCUGCAACGUCUUUUUUGGAUUUUACCGAAAAAUACUACCGCACUGCCGACAUCACUCCUACUCCUCUCUACUUUGUUUGUACUUUAGUACACACUGUUGUUGUGAUCAUGUGGGCUCUGGAUGAUGGAUCAGGGCGCUGCUAGAUAUAGGUGCUAGGUGGAGUCUGGAAUGGACUGCGUGUAUCGGAGUGCUGAUAUCAGAGAUUGUAGAUGAUAUAACCCGAUAUUUGUUUUUUGACUGAUAUGGGACUGAUAUCCAAUAUUAAUAUGGUAUCAGGACAGCCCUAGGUGGCGCUAUGAUCAGUUUUAGUGGACAUAGUUAAAUUAAAGUGAAAUCACAUAAGAAUGUAAACGUUUAAAACUCCCAUAUAGUGUCUUUAUUUCUGGACGUUUGUUACUCUGUCAGUCGGCUCUCUCAGCUCCUCUGUUAUCCAUGAUGUUACUCAUGGUUGACGUAUAACUAACCACCACAUCUACACCCUCUGAAUGAAUUUAUCCCUCCUCCGUUCAGCUGUAAUCAUCUCUAUUAACAGCGGUCCACUCUGACUUGAACAAAGACAAAUGCCGUCUCUCUCCAUCAAAGUCCAGUUUUGAUUCUGAACUACAAUCACUCUUGUCUUCUUCCUCUUCAAGGUCCGUCCUCUCUUUGAGGAAACGCUGAAAUAUGAAAACAGCUGACAGGACGGUGAUAGAUCACAACACCAUUAAUUUCAGGAGGAGUCUCUUCACAGGCGGGCCGGAGAGAGGAAUUUACAUUGUUAAUAUUGUGUAAUAAUCCACAGCACAGGCGUGGGAGAGCAGAUAAAACAAGAAUGGACUUUUUACUUUUCUAAGCGGUAUUGGCUUUCCUCCAUAAACAAUGAGCUGUCUUUGCUGUAAUGGCUCCUAGGUGCCCCACUUGUGUCGAUCUAAUUACUUUGGUUUCAUCAGGUCCUACAGAAAUCUGGUGAAGAAGAAGAAGAAGAAGAAAAUCCAUACUCGAUAACAAUGAAAAAUUCAUAUUGUUGUUUUUUUCCCCAUCCCUCUCUGUCUCUCUUUCUUCCUCCCUCCUCUCACUCACUCACUCACUCACUCUCACCCUGCUCUCUCUUAUUCUGUGAUAUAUUUAAAUGUUAAUAACCAUUCAUUCCUGACACCCUAUCUACCAAGCCCCAAGUUUAACAGGAAAUCUAUUUAAUCUGAAGAAUCUCAUUACACGAUCAUGGCAGCAGCUAAAGCCCCGACUAUUGUCGAUAGAUGGGAGGUAGGAGGGGAGAAAGAAAGGGAAGGGAAGAUGAUGCACAGAGAGAAAAAAAAAUGAAUUCAAGGAUGGAUAUUUAAUUUAAUCAUUGUGCGUGAAGCAACAUAAAGGAGGCAUAAAGAGUCUUGCUUCUUCCUUCAUUUGAGAAGAUAAUGAUUAAAUGUUUUCUAUUGUGCCGUACAGCUGAAAGCUUUAAUCAUUCCCAGAGCUGGACAGAGAGGAGAGAGAGGAGAGAGAGAGCGCUGCAGCCUUUUAGUGCCUUUGACAGUAUUCUAAAUAUGAACUUCUUUUAAGGCCAUUAAAAGAUUAUCACUGAUUUAACAGGAUGCCCGUUUGGAGCAUUAGCCACAGACGGUUCCCCCAAACCCUCUGAACACCAUUCUCCCAGCUUCUAUUAUCUCAUCCACACAGCACUAUUUAAUUUCAUUUCCAUGAAUAUGCAAUGAAUUUAAUUUUGAACACUAUUUUCAUCUGCUCCUGUAAUCACAAAAAAUGCCAGUGUAAUUAGUUUCUAAUUACUUGGUGUAAUUGUUGUAGUAAUCAUUUUAAUUACCCAAAUGCAGAGACAUUAGAUGCUAAAAGGAAAAUAAUCUGCUUGUACCUCCUACUGUGUCUCUCAUUCUCCUCAGUUUGAUAUCUCGAUCGUGACAUGGGCUGCUUCACCGUCAAAGACAGACGCAGUACAGCGCUGUUGCAUGUGGAUGUUUUAUAGCACAUGAUAGGGGAGGCAUGUACUGUAUAGGAGGGAGUGUGGGGAGGAGAAGGAGGAAGAGAGAGAGGGGGAGAGGAGAGAGAGGGAGAGAGGGGGAGGCAGACAGACGGGACCAGACUUACAUUGUAGCAUCUCUGCAAUCUGCUCGCUGGAAAUUUGCAUGCCCCGAAAAGCCAUUAAGUUAAAAUAUACAGUUAUUGUACCUUUCUGGGACCGGCGCCAUACAAAUGCUUAUUGCAUGUGCUUAUAGCUCAGUCUACCAGAUGGUAAAUCAUGAAAUUUUAUGAAAUUAUUGCACCAGUGAGGUGUUUUGAAAAGGAGCAGCUGUGAGGGAGAUGGGACAUUAUAAACACUCACAGGUGUUCUGUCUUUCCCCACCGCCAGCCACAACAUAAAAAAUUAAAUUAUAAACAAACCGGCAAAUGUUGUAAUCUCCUUCACAGAUACACUACUUACAGGAGAAAUUGCUUCAACUAAGCAAAGAAUUUAAUUUUAAUUUGCAUAAAAUAUUUAUUGUGGCUAAGAAAUUUCAUCGCAGGGCCCCGCUCGUCUGCCAAGUUCGGAAAUUGCCGAAAUGUACAUUCCACCGGCAUCUCGGUGCCACGGAUGAAGAUCCAUUAGGGAAGGCUCUAAUGGGCACUUCACCCAAGCACAUAUGGGCAAGUACACGUAAUAAGAGGGAGCUGGUCAGUGCCAAACACCACAACAAGCUUGUGUUUCUCAUUAAGAUUUUAUUCCUUCCUUAGUAUUUAAUUAGCCGCUCUAGCACAGGGACCCGCGAAGAUAGCUGCACAUCCACUAUGUUGCCACCUUCCAAGUCUCCAACAUGUAAACUGGAGCUCUCCUGCUGCCCGCCUCGCACCUUGUGUAUAAUACAGAGAGAGGACUUGUUGCUCGGGAUGGAGUGUGAUCGUCUGCAGAGACUCGGUGUGAAGACUCGGCUGUUGGAGGAUUAGCUCGAAGCUAACAUGAAAAUCUGUCCGAGCUGACAAACUUUCUGAAGCAUCGUUUUUAUAAAAGAGGAAAUACUGGAGCAGCAGUUAGGCUCUGUGGUUCGAGUGUGCGGAGACUGAUGCCUGCAGACAGCCUCUAGUGGACACUCAGUGAACUGCAGUCUGACCUUAAUGAAGUACAAGUCAACAGUGGUGGUCGAAGUUUGCUCAUUGCUCAAACAUGGAGUAUAGGGCUGCACAAUGUUGGAAAAAACUAAUAUUGCAAUUUUUUUCAACUCUGCGAUAUUUAUGUUGCGAUAUUAAAAAAUCGAGGAAUGUUCAGCAGACGAUCUGAAUCUGACUUUCUGCUGAAAUCUUGAGGACAGUUAACCUGCACUGAUCUUCCCUCUUUUAGUGAAUGUUAGUAGACUGUCUUCUGUCUGUCUCAGAGAUAUUUUUAGCUUUUAUUGUUCUGGGAUGUUACCGUGGAAACAGAUGAACACAGAACACGUGUUUUAGUCGACAUCAUCCUUCUUGUAACUGAAAUAAUUCCAGAUAACCGACCUUAAUUUUUUUAGCCAACAAGUCUUCAUCUUCAAUGAUUUUCUCUAUUUGCUCAUUUUACAGUCGUUGUUGUUGUAGUCGAGUGGUCCAUGUAAAUGUACAAUUUUAAACCCAUAUAGUUUUUAUCUGUGGGGCUAAACGGUGAUGAGGAAUGUUCCCAAAGUAAUUCUUGGCGGGCAUGUGUUUCUCGGCACAACAUCGGCAGCGCCAGCGACGAGCUCCAUGUGCAGGACAUGUGCAGGGGCGUGGUUUCCUCCGCUCUGAUUUUGAUUGACGGCUGGUAGGGUAGCAACUGAGUAAAGAAUGAAUGUGGUUGGUGGAUCGCUGCACAGCCCACGCAGAGUCACAUGCAGUGAAUUUCAGUCAGCUACCCUUGAAAUAAGAUGAGCUGCGAUGCGACUAUUGCGCUCACGUACAUCGGGAUGACGAUGCUCAAACAGUAUACCGUGCAGCUCUAGAUGACCGGGUGAACUCUGAUGAAAUGUGUCCUAAUUCUGGGUAGGGGUCCUUCAGAGGACCCAGUCUUAUCUAUUUCAUCUGGUCUGGUCUUUGAUGGAUUUCCUGGAUGCAAACAAACAGUCAGCUUUGCGUAGUUUGACUUGAAGACUAGAAACUGGGGGAAAAACUAGGAAGUUUAAUUUGUUUUAAAUAAAUUAGUCUGAGCCUCAUCUCUGAUUUUGAAUAUUAACAUCUAUUUUUUUUUUUCAGUCAAUAACUUCUUAGUUAAUAAGUCGUAUUUAUGUUUCCAAAAACCCUAGAAAAGGUCAAGCUAAAAUCAGACGCAGUCGUCUAUUUCUGUGCCGUAUCACUCAGUUGAAGGAUUUUUCUUUUAUUGUAAAGGGAGGGCGUUCUCCUUCAGCCUCAUUUACUCAAUAAUAAAAAUUCACAGACAUGUAUUUAUUGUGUAUGACAGGGCCUGUAACAUAUUCAAAUGUGAUGCAUGCGUCUUCUUUCUGUGAAAAGGCUGGUGCCUGGACGCAGAGCAGCGCUGCGAGGGUAGCUGGGAUCGUCAUGCAUAUUCAAAUCCACUGCUGGACAUGGCUGCCCUAAAUAGGCGGAGAGCGUGCAGCACUCAAGGGUGGAUGGUUUUCCAUGUGUUUUUUUCCUUCCUCCUCUUCUUUCAAGCACCUCCAGCACAUACUGAUCAAGGCCCUUCCAGGCAUUUAUUCCACAGUAGCUGCAGGCUCCACAUGCCCCCGGUACCAUCAGCAUCACAGCUGAGUGGAGAGCCCAGAAUCAAAGAGCCCACUGAUUAUAAGAGGCUGCUCGACUUUAUAUCCUACUGUCUGUUUAAAAAUAUGUACAAAUAUGUUUCAAGUUUUUAAUCUCAGACUCUUUUAUCAGGGUCAGGUUUUAUGAACACACUUAAAUUGAGCUGCAGGUACAGCUGGAUUAGGGGAUUUAAUCUGACUACACACCAGGUUAUUGUAGGAGAAAUGAUUUAUCGAAGCCCCCUGUCAGCUCAUGAUGAUGUUUUGCACCAAAACAAUCAACAAACACAUACCAGGAGGUUCACCAGAUGUUUGAAAUCUCUGCACCUUUAAUACAAACAGACUCACCGUCUCCUUCACCUCCUUCUUUCCUAUCCUACAACAUAUUUGUGCUGUUUUACUUCUGGAUGUGCAGAACGUUUAGGCCGGUUUCAGUCAGAUCAAGGUCAGAACAGCGCCCUCUGGUGACGGGCUGCAGUAUAGGUCAUAAAUCCCGCCUCCUUAUGGAGCUGUGGACAAACUAAAGUCUGUGCAGAUGCAGCAAAUAAACGGAGGAACUGGGUUAUAUCAGAGUUACUACAGCAGUCAGAGGUGAUGGCGAGCAGCGGAGGAUUUUCUUAGUACUCGAGCAGUUUAUGAUGACCUUCCUGUCCCUGUUACCUACAUAGUAAUUUAAUUACAGUGUAUUUACCAGGAAAUAACUUUGGUGUGAAUAGAUAAUGGUAACCAUCAGACUAUGUUGGUCAUAACACGACAUUACUUUAGGUUUUUCUUUGGUCCUUUCUCUGUACUGUAUGUUUUUAUGACUGAGUAAAUACCAGUAUUUGUACAGACAGGGUUCUCUCUCAUUGGUCCAGACUGGAUAGGGUCUGGUUUAUCAUGACUGUGCGUAUAUAUCAGAUGUAACAGGAGACAUUUCUCUCACUUGGAUGUUUGACAUCUGGACUGACACCAGAUUGAAACAGGACGUUAAAUCUAAGAGCCGCGUGUCUUUCUGAGUUUUCUAAGUUCCUCUGUCCGCUGAUUGUUGACCCACUUGGAUCCACUUUAUUUCAGCCCUGAGAGGAGAAACAAGGACACGGUCACUCUCUGAAUAAACACAUUGAAAUGAUGUAUGGAACGAAUGAGUUUACAGCUGAAUGUAUAGAAAGAGAAAAGCUCCAAGUGGCAUUUUGUUUAUGAGGUUUUAAAACCGAGCUGCUUCGUCCUCACCCCACCAAACAGAGCCCCUCUCUGCAGGAGAAUCUCAUUAUGACUCCUAAUGACAAAUUCACCCUUUCAAUUAUUUGCUGCCAUUUCAGAGCAGAGCUCUAUCUGCUGUGGAGAGGAUUCGGCUCGUGCACGGCCGGCCAUAAACCUGCUGAGGUAUGGAGCACAGAGCGGGACAGUGAUAUACUUUCUAAGUACAUCAGAGGACCUGAGCGCUGUCUGUGUUUGGACUGCAUAAAAACCUCAGUCCAAACACAAACACAGGGAUCCUCUCUGAACACAGGAGAGUCCGAGUUUCUCCUCACAAAAUAAAAUAAAAGGUGGAACAUGCUGAUGCUGAACGCUCAAUCUGAUAAUCAAAUGUGCUCGCAAAUGACCUGAAACUCAUCAACAAGAGCUUUUAAUGAAAUAACACCCUUAAAUGAAUACUGGGGGAGAGUGAGAAGUGAGCAAUGGCUUUUCAGGCUAGUUUGAAUUUUUAAUUGCCUGUCGGGAGAAUAUUAGAUAAAGCUUGAUUAGAAAUAAAUUGAAAAUCUCUGCUGAACGCGUUUACAGAUAGACACACCAAAGGAGACAGGCAGGCGAGGCAGGGCAUCCAGGAGUUGAUUGAUUUACUAUCUAUUAGUGUUUUUCUUAAUAACCUGCUUUCAUGUGAGCUCGUCACACUGACUGUAGAUUUGCUCUUUUAUAGAAACACUCUUUACAUUUUCAGAAAAUCCGAGUGAUGGCCUCCAAAUGUCAAGUGUCCACGCUCCUUUUUCACGCACUCGCUCCAUUUUAUGGUCGUUUAGACGUUCACAGUGUCUGAACGUCUCAUUUUGUUGUAAUCGGAGGAUUUUCUGGACGUUGACGUCAGCCUCACUGCUCUCCUUCUGUACAUUUGUCUCUCUCUUGCAGGUUCCUGACCUGUGACUUCUCCCUCAGAUUUAUCCUGCAUGUCUGCACUCAUCAUCACUUCCCAGUUACAGGUAAUACCCAAUUAAACCUAAAGGUCUACAGGAUGAAUCAGACAGGGGAGGAAGAGGAUUUGAACUCCAGUUAUGUCAUCUCCACCUCUGCCUCACAUGAAUCCAAGACGCUUAUUUAACAGCCAGUAUCGACACUUAAAAUCUGCAGCUUAAAGUAAUAUUUCACACCCCAAAGAAGUAAUAAUCGUUUGUGUUUAAUAACCGGAAACCAAUCAUAAAUUCUGCUGCGAUCACAAACAUCCAAAGAAAGGCUGUCGGUGUAAAAGGAGAAUAGCAAAUGUUAAGACUGUGAAGUUAUGGUCGCCACACAUCAUAAAACAACAGAAGAAGAAGAAGCAGCAGCUGAAAGUGAGCUAGCUUUAGCAUCCCUCAGAGAGAUGAUUGGACUCUUUUGAAAACCGACAUUUAAGAUUUAUUAUGAAUCCAAAACAAUGUUUGAUAUCAGGUUACUAAAUAUUUACGCUUUGUGAUUGUUCUUUAACUGUUUUCAUUCAGUUCAAUGUAUUACAAUCUACCAGAAGAAGACCUUCAAAAUAAAAGCGUGAUAAACAAUCAUGUAAGAGGUAAUGCUUUCUCCAAAGAAGUGUCAGUCACGGGACUGGUCAUGUGAAUAAAUCAUAAUAUGAACAUCAUUAGAAAUAGAUGAUAACAUCAUAAGAUAGGUUAAAACUUUAAUAAUCUUUAAAGAGUAAAUGCAGCUGCUGAAAUAGUCGGCAAGUAAAAGUAAGAGGAAAAAGUAUUAAUUAAAAAUAAAUAAAUAUGAUAAAAUGAGGGUUUUAUACGUACAAAGGUUUGAAAAAUAAGCAGCAUGUAGGGCAGUAAGGACUUUUUUUGAAGAUUGGUUAAAGUAGAAGUUAUGGGACAAAGUGACAUAAGAUGAUAUUAUAAAUAUAACAGGACAUGUAUGAUGUAAAAUAAAUACAACCCAGGGUAAUGUCAAACUGAUCAGAUCUAUAAAAUGGAAAAAUAGAUGUAAUAUCAUCUCAUCUCAUAUAUCUCAUACUAUAUAUCUCAUAUCAUCUCAUCUCAUCUUAUAUAUCUCAUAUCAUAUCGCAUCUUAUCAUUCUUGUCUUUCCCUAAUUUAACUGACUGUGCGUUUUAUUUUUUUCACCUAAAUUUCAUCAUAACGUCGUUUUCAUGAUAUUUAUAGUCAGGUAUAUGAUGAGAUGAAAACCUGAUUAUCUGAUCUGAUCGAUGAAUGUCACGUCCUCUGAAGUUUGAGGCUCAUGUGUACUGGUCCUAAUAGAUGCAUGCAUCUGUACCUGCCCAGUAUUAAGGGCCUGAGACUGCAGCAGCUUUAGAGACACUGAAAUGACUCUGGGCUACAGAGAGGUCACAUAUGCAGAUAUUUAAUAACACACAGGACUGGAGGUAAAAUGUGAAUUCAUAUUUCUGUCCAAACUGAGUGGACUGCACACGUUUUCAAAUGUCCAUCUUCAGUGAUAAUCUCCUGCUAAUGGGUUUAUAAGGGUGUUUAGGUGAUACAUAAUUGAGAUAAUAUCUAUAUAAUGCACAAUACUGCUUUAAAGUCCAUUGCUCAAACUCCUCCUGGGGUAAUCUCUCUAAUGAUGAUUUUCAAUAAAAGAGCAGCAGUGAGGGAGCCCAUCUAUAUGAAAUAACUACUUCCAGAUAACAGAGGCCAUCACAGUGACAGGCGGGUCAAGAGGUCGGCAGACUGCAGAGCAUGUGCAGCGGGCUGUGUGAAAUAAAGGACACGGGGGACAGAGAGCCCGGCUCAUCUGAGCAGACUCAAAAUAUGGGCUGUUCUUCACUCACAGCACAGGAAACACUAUAAACAAACCUGAGAGGAAAACAUGGACACUGUAUUUCACUGAGUACAACACAGCAAGGACACCGGCUGGGCCCAAAAACACACACAAACUCAUACUGUGGAGAGAGCUGUGUGUUUAAUUUAGCACAUAUGAGGAUGAUAAUUAGAUUAAUCAGAGUUUUUAAUCAUAUGAUAGAAGUUUACCGAUCAUGUUCCUUCAAACUACACAACAGCAGAGCCCUCCAGCCUGCAGUAUGGAGAAAUAUAAUUUACACAAGGUAUAAAAUAACAUUUAAACUCUGACGUAAGUCAGCAGGAUGCCGUAUAUUCUGUUGAAGUGUGCAGUAGGUAGUAAAUUAGUGUGUGGUUUCAGACAGAGGCACCUUUCAUUCUCAGCUCAAAGGAAUAUGUGAUACUUCUCUUAAACAUACAGUAUGUAGAAACAGGAACAUUUAGAUAUGUUGCAAUAUCUGGUGUUGGGUAUUAAAAUGCUCCCUCGCUCACCCCAAGUGUUGGUAGUCUUCAAGGACAAGAAGCUCUCGACAUGCUGAUGAAAAUCAUCUUUCAUUUGUCAAGAACACAGACUCUUUUCCAAACAACAACAACAACAACCACUCACUUCUUUGUCACCCAAACAGUGCACAAAACAGAUCAAGGCUCACACUAAAUACACAUAUUCAAGUUUAUGCUGAUCAAAGCUAGGGGUUGGAAUCAGCAGUUGCCCCACGAUAUGAUAUUAUCACGAUACUUGGGCCGUGAUACAAUAUUAUUGCGAUUGUUAACAUUUUGCAGUACAGUGCAGUACAAUUUAGCAUUUGUCUUUCCUUUCUCUUUGUCUUAUUUACACUGUUUUUUUAUUUUCAUGUAGCACAUCUUGCAAACCUUACAUUUAUAUUUGUUGUUCUAACUUUCUCCUGCUGUAUGACGUCACCUCUGUCAACCUCACUGGACAAACAGUUGAUUUUAUUAUUCACAUUAUCAUAGAUUUGACUUCAUAUUAGAAAUUAAUUUGAAUACUCAAUACUUGGUAAAUGAGACGAUAUGAUAUAUCACCAGACAAAAUAUUACGAUACUAUGCUGUAUCGAUGUUUUCUCCCAUCGCUACUGAACGCUGCAAGAAACUGCAGACUGCACCUUUAACCUAAAACACUAGAUUGACUGAAUAGUAACUCUGGUUACUAUGGUUACUGGCUAACAAGUGUGACGGUAUUUUACCGUUAAUAAAGAUGACAGGUUAACGAAGUGAUUUGACAAACAUGCAGAGAAACAACAAAACAACAUUAGAACCAAUAAAAACUUAAAGAUUUAAAUCAUUCACAGGAUUCAGAGCUUUUAAAACACACUGGUAUAAAUCCUGUAUUUUUCCAAAUUGCAGCAUAUUAAGGUAAAAAACUGGAAUAUUAGUUUUUUAUUCGUAUAAUUUGUAGGAAUGUGGCUGUGAUUGGGAUCUUAUCAGGGCAGUUGGUGGACAGAAAUUGCUCCGAUCUUUGGCAUGUGUAGAGAAAAGGAAAAAAAAAAAGAUCUAUUGUUGAAAUGUGUCUGUGUAGUUUCAUAUAUCAUUGAUUAGACAAAAUAAAAAAGCCAUAACAUUGGGUCAGGAGAACACAGGGCACGGCUGCUGACAUUCUAUCACGGCAGACACAUAUUGACUGGCGCUCUGAAAGUAGUCACUCACUCAUCAGUGUGAGGCAGGCUGAUUGAGUUGCCAGCAGCCACUAAAUGAGGCCUCCAUCCAGUGUGGGUCGAAAUGAACUGCAAUCUUUUCAGACCUUGUUGCAGCUAAGAGACCAACUGAGAGAACGAGAGGGAGAGAGAAAAGGGAGCGAGGGGGAGAGAGGUUUUAUAAACCCAGGAGGAUUUCAAAUAAGUUUACUGAAAAAAGAGAGGAGAGGAGAGAGCCGGGAAAACAAAGAGAGCAGAACUCAGAGUCGAGACGCUCUUAUUUCGACCUCGGUGUGCUUUCUUUGUAAUCUUGGAGAUGAGCAUAAACCCAUAAAGCAGAGAGCUGCACGUCAACACUCCAUGAAUUCACCAGCCAUCAGCUGAUCAGUGCCAUUUUAUCCAAUCACAUUUAAACAUCUCCAAUCAUCUCCACUCUUUGAUUCCCAAAACAUGAUGUUGUCUUUAAUAUUUGACUAACUGAAGUCCUGUAGAAGCGUUUUUUAGAAAUACUUAUCGUCUGUAUUGGAUUUACUCUGAACAUCCAGAAUGAAUCCAUAAAUACAUGAGCUGAUGUCUUCUUGAAUUUAUUGACUUUUCCAUGUUUCUUAACCUACCGAUCUGUCAUCAAUACUAACUGGUGACCUACAGUGAUGAAGAGAGGUGAAAGACACCUGCAGUUCCUCAUGUGUCCACUAGAGGCUUGCUCCAAAAGUCAAAAUCGCCCAUGUACAGCCUUUAUGAAAAUGCUGUUUUCUUUCUGCAUCAGACUCAAACAUGCUCACAGCGUGGUUCAAAAUAACGAUACCUAAUUUUUUUAUUCCUGACUCCUUUUUCAAGGGUUGAACUUUUUAAAAUGAUAUACUCAGACAAAGAGUCAUGAGUGAUUAUGCAACAUGUAGGCUGGUUUCAGCUUCUAGAUGAGAAGGUUCUGGUCUUAGAGCCUCCUCUCUGAUGGUUUCUGGUUCAGCCAGUCGGCCGGAGUCUGAGAUUUCUCUGCUCCUUUACACCUCUUUGAAAACUAAUGGGUGAGUUCUUGAGACUGCAUCUGUUCUUGUACACUUCAGUGUUUUACACUCAUUGUAGGGGCUGUGAAUAUCAAAUAUAACAACUUUGGUAGGGAUGCACAAUACUGGAUUUUGAGAUAUCCAAUUUGCAGGUAUUUUCUUUUUUAUUUUAUUUUCAAUUUUGUAUUUAUUUUGUAUUUAUUUUGUAUUUUACCAUAAUAUACCAACAAUAUGCAGUUAUUUUAUUUUUUAAUUUUUUUAAAUGUGUAUUAUUUUUUUAACCUUAAUAGAAGAAUAUACAGUUAUUAUUUUUAUCUGUUCUUAAUUUUAUAAAAUUCUAAUUUUUUUAUUUUACUAUAAUAGAACAAUAUGCAGUUAUUUCCAAACUCAUGUUGUCUAAAACUUGAUACCAAUAUGUUUUAUAAACCUUUAUUUUAUAAACCUUUUUCAUAUGUGAAUAUAUUUUAUUGUAAGAAGACCACGUCUCCCUGUAAACGGAUGAACCUGUGACUCUUGUGAUAGUCUAGUUUAAAAUUCACACUUACAAACAAUACAAACAACUUUUAAUUAGAAAUAUAUUCUUUUUUAAUUAAGGACAGUCUGUAAUGUGUCUGCUGUUUGUUUACUAUGCUUUCAAAUAUUUCCAUGCAGUCAUAAAAGAUUUCAUAUAUGACGGACAGCUAUUCUCAUAAAAAGAGUAUUAUUGUCGUUUUUGUUGUAAAUAGAUAUUUUUGAUGUGUAUAUAUGUGAUAAUCAGGCCUGUGAAAAUUCUAAUUUAUUCAGCCAGCUUCAGAAAGACAGAGAAAGUCCAAUGGUUGAAGCAUUCCUGCACACUUCCCCGUCUCUCCUCCACAUCCCUACCCUGGUCUCGACUUGAACUCUCUUGGUAUUGCAAAGACAGAAAGCGUGCAGUUAAUUACGGCUAAUGAAAGCUUGUUUGAGCAGGAGAGGAGGGGUGUAUAUUAGGGGAGAGGGAGUCAAGCGGCUUGAACCAGAGGGUUCCACGCACAAUUUGUUUGAACCUGGGUCCUCCUCACUCUCUGCAUGCUAAUUUACCUUGGGGCUGCACCGCCUGUUUUUAAAUAUCGUUAAUUGACUUAAGAGCUCAUCAACGUGCUUCGUCUUCAUUAGGUUAAUGAAAAGGCCCAGUGUUUAUUUUUCGUAACAGAUUGUGGCAAUGACAUAAUCUAAUCGGUUACUUCCACUUCCUGAAGGAUUGAGUCCUUCUGAUGUGAGCUGUUGGAGCCGCUCAGAUGUUCGGCAUUUGUGGGUGUCUGUCUCUGACAAAGCAGAGACGGGGGAGGAAUUAGAAUAAACACAUUUAGCCCUUGGCAUGAAUCUAUGUUGCCCUUCUCUAAUCGACAGUGUGAACUAACAAGAACGUAAUGGUACUUUUGAUGUGUGACUUGUCGGGGAGAGGCUGGCUGAAAAAACAGGGACGGCGUCUGAAAAUGGGAAGAUUGCAGAUUUGUCUCUGUAAUCUUAAUGGGCUGAAAUAAAUCAGCCGAGCGGGAAUGUCCAUGACCUAUGUCAUGAACCUGAGGGGGCUUGUAAGAUCCUGAGCAGAAAAGGGAAAUAUUUCCUGCACUCCUCGGUGAAGAGUGAACCCUCAGUCUGCAGUCGAAUGAAAAUCCAGAAAAGGAGCAGAUGUAUUCUGACUCUGUAAAUACAACAUUCAGCAUGUUACUCAUAGAUGUGCUGCUGAAACCAGAUUUUUGAUGACUUGGCGGUACUCUGAAGAGUGAUUCCUAGACAGUAUACUUAAGUUUUCUCUGUCGCUUUGUUGUUAUGCACCAAGUUUUUUACUUUUUACUGUCUCGGCUCCCACAGCUCUGCAGGAUCCAUAUCAAGUUACUGUUCAUGGAAAGUGAACCUUUUCUACAGUCAGAACCUAAAACCACUAAAACUGUUUCAGCUGAAGGUCCAGAAGGUUCAUUUCCCUGACUGUAUAUUAGAGUUAAACAUCUGCUGUCUCUGUGGGUUUUUCCUUUUACUUUAAUAGACUCUCAGAUAACAGAGGGAACAGUCAUCCUGACACUUACCGGCUGCGUCAUGUUUCUAUUGUAGCCUCAGAUAUAAGUCCUUACAGAUACCAGGCUGCAUCAUUUAAACAAUAUACUACUCUUAAGGUUGAGUAUUAGUUAAAGAAAUGACAAAACAUGGUGAGAGGAACUUCAUUAAAAAUACUUCAGAGUUCCCACGCAAGUAUAGAAUGUAUAAAAUACUGUUUUCUAAAAUAAAAAAAGUAGGUAUCUCCAGAAAUAAUUCUAAAAAGUACGUUUUGGAAAAGUAUGGAAGUUCCAUCUGUGUAGGAACCCUGAUACUUGAUCCUGAUUGGUCAUGACAAAAGUGAUUGAUUCCUAAUAGCUACAGAAAGUCGAACCUGAUCACACAUGUUAUAUCAGAUCUAUCAAUACGAAAAUAUUAUUUUAUCUGCACACUAGCUCUACUAUUACUGCUCGUUUCUUUGCAGUUAUAUGAAAUUAUCAAUAUUUGUUAAUAUAUUUUAUAUAGAUCUUGGCUGAGGAAUGCAAACCUGCAGACUGAGCAUGUGCAGACCUAACAUUAGUAUCUUACAACUAACAGGUUCACAUGACACGAGAUCCUAGGCUGUGUCUGAAAUGGAUCCCUAACCCCUCUAUAGGCGACUACAUGGGUAUUGAGUGAUUCAUUUCGGACACAGCCCAGGUGUGUACAGGCAGAUGUACGGUGGCCCUUAAGGUCAACUUAACAAAACACAAAAACGUUUCCUGAACAAUCAAAUAAUUUAAUAAAAUGUAAAAAUAUUUCACAAAAACGAUUUUAGUGAUUGAAAUAUGAUGAGUUAUGAGUUUUUUACAUCACUCAAACAGAGUUAGAAUAUUUUUAUUUUGUCUGAUUAAUCCACUUCGCAUAGAGAGGAAUAAUCAGCCUGUGUGUCUCUAUUUUACUGAUGCUGUUAUUAUAGUUGGUCUGUUUCUGUUCCUCUCUAUAAUGAGACAGUAUGUAAAGACGUUCCCGCCUGAAUGAUCCGCUCUCACAUGUUGAAGCGAGUCCGGCCGUGAGGAGCAGACGUAAAGACUCGGUCUGUGAGCUGCUGCUGCUGCUGCUGCUGUAACACUUAGGCAAAGCGAGCUGAUCUUCCUCCAGAGGACAGUAACAUUUGAGGCCAUCUCUAGUGGUGUGGCCCAUAAAGAGUGACAUGGUGGUAAAAUAAAUCACUCCCUGGACCCCAGACCCCCCCUCCUUCUCCUUUACACCACACCCCCCCUCCCCACUCCUUACUGUCUGGGCUGCUUGGCCAUCAGGGGGCUGCAAAAGCUCAUCAGUGAGAACUUGAGAAUCCUCAGUGGAGCUGUUCUGAGGUCAGCUCGGCCUCUCCAACGCCAUAAACAGCUCUCAGUCAGGUUCAUCACUAACUGUUUCACCCCCACACUUUUUUUUUUCUCCCUCACUGUCCAUCCUUGCACUCCCUUUUUCGCAGCAGACGUUUCCAAUAAAUCAUUUGACCCUCGUCCCCCCCUCCUCCUUUUGCCUCUUGUCUGGGAGCCCCUGUCUGUCCCCGACUUGGCCUGAGAUGAUGCGUUCUGCUGAAGUCACUUAAAUAAAAAGAUCGCAGUGGGAGACAUAAUGUGUUAAAGUAAUAAGAUGGUCUCGGGCAGGUCACGGCCCCUCUCCCUGCUCCAGUGCUCCUGUGGAGGCUCUUUGAGUUAAUGGGCUGUGGUCAGUGCACUGGUGAGCCAUAAAGGCUGCCCUCCCAAACUCCAGCCUCCGUUCAGAACAGGGGAUCCUCCAAAAGCCACUAACCGACCCAUCUCGAUAACAGCACAGCCAGCACUAUUUCCACCGUGCAGCUGACACUCCCCGGACCUGUAAAUCUCCUGUAUUUAUCAUCUCCUCUUGUACCUCUCCCCCCUGACUGCCGCCCUUACACAACUGUCCUUCAGUGUCAGCUGCUCGCCGGAUUUCACCGUUUGUCUGCUGAAAUACCGAGACGUGACUUUCUUUCCCAGCACCCGACCGAGCUCGUUCUGCACUGACCUGGAUCCCAGCCAUGCAUAAUCCCCCUUUUCCAUUUAAAUCUUGCAAUAAUGAAUAAAGUAACAGUGUGUACUAAUUAAUUAAAAUGGAAGUAUAAAGAUUGGAAAGCUGUAACAAAUUAUCUCAUUGCAUUUCAGCAGCAGCAGGUUAUUUUUGUGAUGGCGAGUGUGACUUCAGCGGGGUGUGCGUUCUCGCCGGGUGGAGGGAGUGACCGUUAAUGAAUGUAGCUUAGGGGAUUAAUGAGAAGAAGCAGGGGACGUGUCAUGGAGAAGUGUCCUGGCAUCGUGACGGCGACACGGCGGCCCCCGUCCUCGUCCCCACUUACAGUGAUUACAUGUGAGCCCCUGUCAUGAGCUAUAAGUGCUUUUAUGAAAUCGUAUUAAAUGCCAUUGUUUAUGCCUCACUUUUCACUUCCUCAUCGGUGUUUUUUCUCGCCGCCUGCCCUCACUACGCUUCGUUUGAGUCUCACUUCAGGUUUCAUCAGCAGGGCGUUAGCAUGUUAAGUCAAAUUAAGCGAUUUUUCCUCAUGCCACAUGCGUGUAACCUCGCGUUUUCCCCGCCUUCCUGAUCCCUUUGCUGCCGCGUGAUUAAUUUGUAGGUUCUCUAUCAGUAAAAGCAGAGCAGGAGUAGUUCCUGUAAACUUUCUGCUGAGGCAGGUGGAUUUACCACACCACAAACUUGUACUUUAAACUUCUCCCUGUUUAAGCCGGCAGAACAAUCCAAUUGUUGGCUUUCUGACGACGAGUCCUCGAGAGGAGAGAAAAUGAGGACUUAAACUCUCUAUACUUUAUGUGUAUUUCAGGACCGCCUCCGUGGUGAGCUGAUAAAGUGGAGGCAAAUUUUCCCAGCAGUGACUCAAACAAAGAUUUAAAGCCUUUUCCAUUACAGCUUUGGACCGUAAUCUUUAUCAAACACACUUUUUAAAAAAACGUGGAAAAUGUUGAUAAAAAGAGAAUUUGACGGUCUGCAGAUAUUCAAACUCACCAUCUUCUUUAGUUAAAAAUAGUCAAAAAGGGAAAGUAUUACUCCUUUUAGGAAAAACACAUUUUUAUUUUAUCGCUAAAGAGACAACAAACUUUUUUCAGGGUGUUCAGAUGAUUAAUACAAAAACAUGGAGUUAAAUACAAAAAAAAAACAGGAGUUAUUGUACUGGAGCAAACUUAAAUGUAGUUUUGAAUUGUUUUGGAAAGAAUUGUUAAACAUCCCUCGCUAGCAACCGCCAACCUCUGGUUCUGAGAAGUAACGCUGAUGCUAAAAUGCUAAAAACUGCAGUUCUCUGAGCGUCCACUACAGGCUGUCUGCAGAAGUACCACAAACCACAUACACACUCAUUGAAAAAAGUAAAUUCUAGAGCAAAGAUAAACACGUUUACAGCUGGUUCAAAAUAACACAGUGAAUUUUGUAAUACAGUAAUAAGAGCAGAAGUUAUUAUACAGUCUACGCUCGCUAGUUUCAUUUUCCUCCUCUUACCUUCUUUUAUGAUGGCGACUGGUCCGCCGUUAACCAUGAAUGUUAAUUUACUCUUCAAAUAAACAGAGAAUAGCGUUAAAAAUAUCCUCCAGUAUGUCAACCUUUAAUAUCAGAGUACUUUGUUUUUGCCACAUUGUCAACAGGAAGAGUUAAAAUCACAAACAUUAUUAAUGCGCCUGAUUCCUUUUCUGUGGAUUCUUUGAUAUUUUUAGUUUAUUUGACACGGUAAAACUUCCACCUGUUACAAGAGUUUACAUUUAUUACUCGCUGUUUUUGUUAAUUAAAAGAAAAAGGAAACAUAAAGAUAAUAGUUUAAAGUUUAAGUUAAUGUUAGUUUUAAAGUUUUCAAAGAUUGAUGUACACAUUUUAAAAUGUCAAUAAUUAAUGUCAGUCAUGUUCCUAUUUUUGUGGAAAAUGAUUGAAUUAAUUCUGCGUCCAAACCGUCAAAUAUCUGAGGUUGACAGAGGAUAGUAUGUCGGUGUUAUGGUUACAGGCUCUUCUAAAAAAAAGCUCUUAUGUGGCCUUAAGAGACGUCAACAACCUGAGAGUAUUUCCUUUACUGACAAAACAUAACUCUAAAUUAUUCCACGGUGUAUACAUAUAUUUAAAACUAUUCUUCCUUUUAAACGAGACCGUCUUUGUCAUCCUUGGAGCCCUGUUUCAGAGCUACAGAUGCUCUUUGUCGUCCUAAUAUUUACAUUUUUCUCUCACUAUCUGGGCGUCUUUGUGUGAUACAGAGAGGAGGAGAGCAGCAGCAGCAGCAGCAGCAGCUCAGUAGACAGACGGACUGCCUCCCCCCAGCAUGGCUAUAAUAACCUCCUGGUGUUGGAGCAGACUCUCUGAGAGAUAUCCUUGAGCCUCACCUCCAUCUCUCUAACAGGUCACGCCGAGAUCCAGGAGAUAGUGAGCUAUAGUUAAGGUCCAGAUCUGCUAUCUGGACUUGAGUGAUGGAGGAAACCAUGUGGCGACAUGUUUAUUGUCACCCAGAUGGUCCACAAUGCAGCGGCUUGGCGAGCCACAUCCGUCCCUAAUAUAAUUCAUGGGGUGGCACCAUUGUGGGGUGACUGAUAAGGCCUUCACUUAGCCCUGCACUGGUCACUUGUCUCAAGGAGACUCCAAAGAAACUUCACUCUGUACAAAUGGUGGCCAAAAUAUCUAAUCCCACCAAGGGCUGCACUUUAGAGCGAAAACUUGGAGCGAGGUUAGCGGGCUGGGAAAGGCCAUUUAUAACCGCAGAAUUCUCUCUUAGCCGUUUGGCUUCUUGGAAGAGUUUUUAUUUAGAGAGAGAAAAAAAAAGAAGCAAUUUCUGGUGAGAAAACAGAGCAGGAAAUGUAGAGUAGAUGAGGGAGACUAGAAUAACUCGGAGAAGCCCACCCGGACCGGGACUCAUAGGCAGUCAUGGCUGUCCAAACAAAAUUAGGCCUCCAGAGUCUCCGGCCUUGACACGUCCAAACAUUUUGGCACCUUCAGCUUCGAGAAUUUCACUCUGCAGAACAAAGCUGAGAAAAUGUUAUUCUUAGAAAUGAGUCAAUUGAGCUCGGUUUGGUGGCGUUUUGAUGGCGAAGGACACCGUCCAACACGCACUUGAGCGGGGGAAGGUUAAAUGGAACCAAAUGCACGAAUGUCCCAGAAGAGAGCGAUGUGGUCACCGAUGAGAGAGAUCAGAGGAGACUCUUGAAAUCUGUUUCCCAUCAAACCGUCCCGCUCCAGGAUCUCCAGAGGAACGCUCCCUGACAGGGACAACGUGCAGAGAGAUAUUUAGAAAUCUGCUUACCAUUAUCCGAGCUUGAAAUCAUCGUAUCGGGGCAUGACUCAUGGAUGUGUCGGACUUUGUGCUCUCAGACCAAUUUUCACACAAUUAUUAAUCCCUUUAAAACAGCGGAGUCUGAGAACGGUUCACUUGGAUGUCCCUCCGUCAUUCUUACUGCGUAUUUUUGAACAUGAACUUGGAUUUACAAACUCCUGUUAAAAAGUCAAUAUUCUACCUGCAUGGAGAAACCAUUGUUUGCAACAGUCACAUUCACGUCUGUUCCCCCGCAGCCCUUCACCGCCGCCGUCGUCUCAUCAUAAAUAUUAAUAAUAUUCUUCUCUUCUUCCUUUUUCACCUCUUCGCUCUUUCAGCAUCACCCUCAGAUUGUGUCCCAGCUUUUCUCUGCGUUUACAAAACUCACAAAUACAGCGAGGCAAAAAAAAAGAGAAAACAGAAACACCUGUUAUGAUGCAACGCAGCGCAAUCCAGGAGUCCUACCGUGAACACUUCCAGACUUUAAUGGAGUGAAGUCGGCUCAGGUUAGACUUUGUUACACAGCUUUUUAGUCGUGUACUUUUCUGCUUUAUUUAGCAUGUUCUCAACUAUUACUGCGUCUCUUUCUUCUUUUUCUUGUUAUCGGGGACUUUUUGUACUUAAUUGGAGAGUUGAGAGAGAAAAAGUCAAGGCUGGGACUCGAACCAGAAACCACCAACACAAAGACCGUUGCUCCUCUUCCCCUGGUUUGAAGGGCGUGAGCUCUCCUUACUACGAUCAUGGUUUAAGUUCUUUAUAAUGUGAUUUCUCGGAAUAAAGGGGCAGAUUAUUGAAGAUUAUUCUUCUUUCUGCUCCUUUUAUUCAGAUGUAAGAACUAUUGUGUACACUGUUUUUUGAAUUGAUUCAAUUUUAAUUAAAAUUAAAAUAAAAGAUAACGUAACACUUUAUUUGACGCCUAUCGCUAUAACCCACUAUAAAUAUAUGUAUAAUGCGUCUUAAUCACAAUAUAGUGCUGUAUAAAUACAGUUGUAAACACUCAAACGAUUAUAAUGCUUUAUGUCAAUAAUCAUAACGAGGCCUGGGCGAUUUGGCUUAAAAAAAUGAUCACGAUAUAUUUUGUCAUAUCGUCCGAUUUCGAUUAUUAUCACGAUUUUUUUAAACUGCCUGUUUUAAAGCAUCUGUACUAAAAUCUAAAGAAACUAGAGAUGAGUUCAACAUUUUAUGAACAUACAAAGUAAAUAACAAAAUAAAUUAAAUAAGAUCGCCCACUUUAGAGAUAAUAAAGACGCCUUAAAAUGUAAACAUUAGAUGAUGUAAACGUAGAUGAUACGAUUGAUUGCUGUUUUGGUCUGGUGGCUGCACCGCUAGUUGUGGCUAAACUACUUGUGCCGUCACAUUUGCCCACAUUUUCAUGCUUUAAUCAUAAUCUCUCGAGAAGAACUUCUUCAAAUAAACAGAUCUGUUGUGUUGUCGGUUUUUGAGGGCACCAAUUGAUGACAUAUCUUAAACAUCGGCUUAAUCGCUCUACGUCACUUUGGAGAUACCCGAACCCUCGCCACACAACCAAUGUUGGAUAACUUCUGAACAAUAACAUCUUUGGAGGAUGACUCAAAGUCAUGGCUGAUGUCUACUUUGCUGCCCUCAGCUCUGAGUUUAGGUCCACACUCAGUUAUUCUGUUUACUUCUCCUGUAACUUACAGAAGUGAGCAGUAAAAGCUCGACUCUGAUUGGCUGUUGUGACGCACAAUCCCGCUAUGUUUGAUCGAGUAAAUAAUAAAAAAAAUUAUAGAGCAUUUUAUCAUGACUUACAAAGUCAGGUUUUAUAAUGUGUUAUAACUGUUAACAACUCACUGACACUGCCCACAUAGAUAAUGCAAUGCAACACAUUUAUAAUAAGUCAUGAUAAAUGCUUUAUAAUGUGUUAUAAUUAUUGCUAUAAAGCAUUAUGAUCAUUUAUGAGUGUUUAUAAUUAUAGGUAUACAGAGCUAUACUGUGUUUAUAAUGCAUUUUACGUAUAUUGAUAAUGCGUUAUAGAGAUAGGCAUCAAAUAAAGUGUUACCAAUAAGAAUAAUACUGAUACAUAAUAAUAAUAAUGUUUUAUUUAUAAGAGCCUUUCUGAGAACUCAAGGACACUUCAGAGGAAGAAUGAAAAACAGCAGCAAACAUGUCUUAACCUCUUUGAGUCUGAGAGGCGGUUUGUGAUGAAAAUUACACUCCAGUGUCCUUAACUAUUAAAAGAAUCAUGCAAACCGUUGCCAUGGAGACUGUACACAAAGGCAUGUGCAUGGAGAUACUGUAGUUUCACCUGACACCAGCAGUUGUAGUAAAAGGCAUUCAGAUGUAGUCCUGAUAGUGUUGUGGACUAAACCAGGUCCUGAGAGUCCCGGCUGCAGGUCUGAAACAAGUCCUCGGGUUGUUCUGAGUAAAUAAAGACGCCCCACAGAGGGACUACAGAGGAACGGCCGGACUUUGUAUGCAGUGUGAGUGUAAAUACAAAGAGCCAGAAGACAAUAGAAAAGCAUUGACUCCAACAAAAACACUGCUCAUGCACUAAAAAUUCAAAAGGCAUUCAUAAGUGGACUCCCAAUCUCCAUCAGCAGCCGGGGCGUAUUUUUCAGCGAGACCAAUAGUUGGAGUUGUGCCUAUCGAAGCAGCAUCUUUAUUCGGAUGGAAAAUGAAUCCUCAAGGAACAUGGCCAGGCGCUUUAUUGUGUAUGCAGUGUGUGGCCAGGUUCAAAUUGGCAAUCAAUUAUCCAAUUAAGACUGACAGAAAUGCACAUCAGGAAUUCCAGCCCAUCAGUCCAAGCUUCUGAUUGGAACACGAUUAGAGGGACUUAAUUAAACCCUAGGUGCUGGGUGUUUAAACAUCAUUUGUGCGGCGUCGGAGGGCUUGGAAAAUAUAAAUCUGGACUCCAGAUUCUCCACGCUUAUCCCACUUAUGGAGCAGGAAAAACCUUGUAAAACGUCCCUUUGAUGCCUCCCUGUAUGCGGCCAUGUUGGAUAUUCAAAGAGGAGCGAGCGGCGUGGAAACACACGCCCUUGGGAAGAUCAGAAGAAAGAGAUAAAUAUUUGUGAGAAUUGCACAGUACAAUGCAAUAACAAUAGCCACCAUGAUAUUGUGCCACAUUAGUCUUAAAACCAUUCCCACGGUUUAGCAGCUUCUGAAUAAUUCAAGGACACGGCGCACCAUGGAGAGCUGUAUAAGUGUGAUGUGUAGGAUGAAAUGCAGCUUUCUUCUUCUUCUUCUUCUUCUUCUUGGGGGGAAUUUUCUUCUUCCUCCUUCUCCUCCUUCUCCUCCUCCUCCUGUGCUGUGGUUGUUUAGUGCCCGUAUUGAUUUCUGAGCUGUUUCUUCCUCCUAUGUCAGACAGUGUGAAAUGGAAGGCACUGCAUUUUAAUAUUGGGUUGUGAAUUAAUCAUUUUUUCCUGAUAGCGAAGCUCAGCUCUGUCCCUGUAGGAGAACACCUUAUCACAGCAAAUAGGAUUCAAAGGGAGAGGAGCAGUAUAAUCCACAGCUAAUUGGAUGAAAUGGCUGCGCUCUCUCCCUCCUUCUAGGGCCCGGCGUCCACGCAGCCCCCUCCACAGGGAGCUCCGAGCCACCGAAGAGGUUAUUACAGUUUGUCCUUAGGGAGCAUUAAUACCUUAGCCCUUGUUCAGACAUGCAAAUAAUCUAAUUCAAGGUCUAGCUAAUUAACAACUUAGCUACAGUAAAGAUAAAGAGGCUCAAUAAUAAGCCGCGGCUUUUGGUAGGAGGGCAGUGCACCACCUACCAAAGAUACACCAAUGUCACUAAAAAACAGGGGGUGGACUCUGAAAUGAGCAAACAACCUUGUGUUUUAAUGAAAAAGAAGAGCUUUGAGCGAAAUACAGAGCAAUUAAUACCAAAAGUAGUUAGGAAAAAGGACUGUUGGACAAGUAGAACCUGCUAAUCUAAUUUUCAGGAGGGCGGGGGGAGGUAGGUCUGACCACGGCCUUUAAAGAAAACACCUCAUUGGUUCCCGCUCAUUAGCUAAGUCCACCAUGACUUUAUCCUGUGUGUCAUCAGGCUGCAGAAAACAAACGUGUCACAGAAAUAAUGUUGAUUUUAGCAGAUAUUUGAAAACCAAAGUCAUUUUACUUAAGUCCCAAUUUAGUUAAUGCAUGUCUCUGUAACUGACAUGCAUCAGAAAUGGAGUCAGAGGGAGUUAAAGAUCACUGUGCAAAUAUAGCAGAUAAAGUGAACACUGCACCCCUCAGCUAAUUUAGCUUGUUAACAGGAGUGUGUUUGUUUAAUUUUGAGUUACAGGUUGAUGCAGAGAAAGUAUCAGUGAUGUUGGCGAAACAUUUUCAUUUCCUCAUUGUCUCACGUAAACAAAACAGACGUCUGUCGUAGUUUUUAUAAACAGUAUCCCAAGUUAUUCUCUUAAUCAGGACACAUCAUUUUCAAGUCUUUGUGCUCUUGAAGCUUCUUAUAGGGACUAUCAGGUUGAGGUGAUUCUGGCGCCCCCUCUGGACAGAGUAGGACGGUUUAUCUCUGCACUGGUCUUUCCCUGUGCAUGUGUAAAUAACGCUUUCUUUGAUUAAUAACAGAUAAAUAACAGGUUUACAGCGUUAAUCAAGCUUCUCUGUAGUGGUCUGGUUUUCUUUUGACUCAGUUUUAAUUCUGGGUCAUUUAGUAGCAAAGACGUACAACAAUGUAGAUGUUGCUGAUCUGUCCUCAGGUGAGAUCCUUGAGCCCAAACAGAGAGACAGAGGUGAACAAGUGAGAUAGAUAACAGGAUGAGAGAGCUAAACCCGCUUAAGAUCCUGUUUUCUGAUUUUUUUUGAUCUAAAGAGCUUCUAAACUCGAACCCAGAUCUGCGCAAACCUGCAAGAAAGAGCUGUAAGCAGCCUCUCUUGGUCUUGAUAUUUAACUCUAAGUUUCUUUAUCCUUUAAUUUCUCUUUUUGUCUUUGUAUUUAUGCUGCUGUGAUUUGGAAUUUCCCCCCCUGCUGGACUUAUAAAGGAAUGUCUUUUCUUAUUUUCUCCUGUGCGUCUGCGCUCCGCUUUCCAUCACACCUACAACUCCUACAGAACAAGUGAGCGCAUUAACAGAACGCUGCAGAGACGGCUUUUGUUUACUUUUUAGACAUAUAGAUUUGUUUCUCAUAUAAGAUCCUUAUAGGCGCUUUAAUAUCACAUAAAGAUAUUUUUGCAGUUAUCCAUCACCCCUCCUCCUCCUCAGCAGUUAUUAUUCUACUUUCAACAAUAACUGAAAUAAAGUGGGUUAUAAAACCUGCUGCUGUCUUACAGGAGAACUGCGUUUAUUCUUACAUAACUCCUGCUGCCGUUUAAUAAACAUAUAAACAGGUUAAAUUCUGCACAUGAACUCUGCUCCGUAUUGAUUUCAUGUGUUUUGGGCCCGGCUGUUAACCUCUGCAGCUCAUGUGCUCACAGAACGUAAAGUGAUCUAUCUGCAUGAGAGGUUUUCAGUGAGUGAUCAGAUGGAUAUGUCAACAUUUUUCUGACACUUAGCAUGCUUAAGUCUAAUAAGAGUUUCUCCUUGAGUGCCCAUGCAGCGCAGUGUGGGCACUUAUUUGAAUAGCCUCUGUGGGCUGUUGUCUCAUAAUAAGGAAAAAAAGAGAAAAACAUGUUUUAAGGCGUCUCUCUGGCUUUUCCAGGCUCAAAUGUUAAUCCCGCUUUAGCAAGGUUACAUGGUCAAGGUUGCCAAAUUACCAACGAGCACUAAUCACCCCUGCCUCCGAGCCAGUCUGGCUCAGAAGCAAACACUGUGGAACAUCGCUCCCAGCCCCCCGCUCAACGCCUCGCCACACACACACAGACACGCACGCACACACACACAUACGCUCUGCGCCUUUCCUGUGUAUGAAAUCGUGAUUUACAACAUCAAUUUACAUCUGCCAAUAUGAAAUAACUUUUCCUUAAAUACAUCAAGUUUCUGCUCCAGAGGGUCGGCGCUCUCUCUGAGGUCAUAUAAAAUCCCUCUGUAGCUCCGAUCUCAUAUAAAGGAUAAAACAAACACACAGAUAUCACUGACCUUUAUAACCUGCACCAUCAGAGGAUCACUGUAAACUAAAACUGAACCUUAACAAACUGGAAAAACCUGAUUUAAUCUGAUUUAUUUCUAACUGACCAUAAAAAUAGAGAAAUGUAAAAAGAUAACAAGUAUUUAAACCAGUUUAACUCUCUUUGAGCAGUAACGGUUAUAUAUAGUAUUAUAGUAUCUGUCAUACUCUAGUGUUUAGGAUGUGUAAUCUACAUUUAGUGAAUGUUUUAUAUCUGUGUUAUGAAAACUCGUGUAGAAAACUGUGUUAUUUAUCCUCCUCUCAUCUGUGGUGGAACUAGAAAGAGAGUAUAAGUCAAUGAUGAGGUUUGGAUUGAAGUUGGGGUGUCCCGAUACAACUGUUUCACCUCUGAUACUUUACUGAUAUUGUUGCCUUCAGGAUUGUCCGAUGUCGAUAUUGAUCCAAUAUUAGCACAAACUUGUGCAUGACAAGUUUUGCGCUCAGUUGCAGCAUCUUUUUCAGGCUUUAAUGAAAAUUACUGCCGAUACAGGGCCGAUAUCACUCUCUACUUUGUUGGUACCUCAGUACACUCACUGUUGUUGUGAUCAUGUCGGCUCUGAACGCUGGAUCCAGGUGCUGGAGUGGAGUCUGGAAUGGACUGCCUAUAUCGGAGUGCAGAUAUCAGAGAUUUUAGAUGCAGGCCGAUACAAUCAGAUAUUUGAUUUUUCAUUGAUAUCAGACCAAUAUCUGAUAUCAAUACCGUAUCGGGACAGCCCUAAUAAUUAGUUCAGUGUAUUCUCAGACUGGAUGACGGUCUUUGGAUACACCAGAAGGACAAUCCAGACUGGAUUUAACUGGUUCUGUUGAUGCAGUAUUUCCAGGUGGCGCUGUUUUUCUGAGUGUGUUCAGGCUGGGUCUCCUCUAAAGACGAUGUUGACGUUUGGCUGAGCUAGAGAAGUUUAAAAGUCAUGGUGAGACAUCUUGCUGACCACGCCCUCAAGGAUAUCUUUAACAAAAAUGAUGCAGAGAUGUUUGGAUCAUGAAGUGAUAGUUUGGUAUUUCCUGCAGAAUGACUGACAUGAAUGUGUUCAGGUCUGCGCUUCUAUAAAACACGCUGAGUUUGGAGCAUGCAUGGCUGAGAUAAAAACUACUUCCUGUGCCAUGGCCACGCCCCUCUUGAUGAUCUGAUAACCCUUGAUAACUUCUCGUGGUUCAGGUCUCUUCUAGCUGUGAAACUAGUUUAAAGGUAAUUAGAUCUUCCUUUUUCAUAAUGGACUAAAAACUGUUGAUUUCUGGCGGUAAGGUCAUCAGAUUAGUAAUCAUUUAAGGAGGAGACGAACAACGAUUGUUCGGAUUUUAAUCUGAUCUUUGACCUCUUGCUGCUCGAGUCUAGCUAACAAACAAACAAACAAACCGUGAUCGUCCUGUGACGCUCAUCAUCUCCUCUCAUGUCACGCUGCAUUCACAGACAGGCCGGUUUUCAUAAUCUCCUCAUAAUAAUCAUGCUAUAGUAUUCUUAGGAGGACGUCUUAUUAAGAGCGGGAUUAUUGCAAAGGGUUAAUGAAAGUAUAGCAGAAAAUAUUGUAUAGCAAGUGUUAGAGUCCAAUCACUCUUUUUAAUAGCUUUGUAGCGGCCAGAAAAUCAAGUAUUCAUGAAGAUUGAGGAAGAUGAUCCAGUGAACUUCAAUUUAAUUGGUGCAAAUUAAAACAAUCCAUCUUUUGCAGCUGUCUAUCUAUCUGCUAUCACCACUUCAUUGCUCGUCUUGCACCUUGAUUACAAUUAUCUUUUAAUAGCAAAACUUGUCAGCAAUUUCUCUCCCUUCUGAUUUACGUGGCGGCCCAACACGGCGUUGUUCCACUCGUAUAACUCAUGUUUUAGUGUAAUGCAGAGUGAGCCUCCGCUGGGCAGACGUAAGAUGUAUUGACACCAUCACCUCAUAUCUGCUGGGUGCUGUGACAUAUAGCAAACUGUCUCUCUGCAGCAGCAGCACUCGCAGCAAUCCUUCCCUCAUUCAUACCAAAAGAGCGUGUUUGCAUGGCGGGCUGCGGCCCCUGCAGACCACCCUCAGAGCCGAGUACAUCAAUGGAUUACAAAAUAAAUGCAUAUGCAGACACUAUUUUUUGCAGUGUCCAAUAAUGGUUCCAGGCAAUUAGAUGGAGAGAUGACACUCUGACUUUUAAUUUGGGACAGAGUGAUCUCUCUCUCUCUCUCUCUGUCUCUGUCUCUAUCUCUCUCUCUCUCUCUCUCUCUCUCCUUCCUCUCACCUGAUGUGCUGAGCUCAGGCCUUUCCAGAGAUACAUGACUGUCGUCUUAUUUUAUCAUAAAAUGGGAUCUCGCCGUUUCAAAGCGACGACUGGAUGUCUGAGCGCUCGUCUUAAGUGACUUUAGAUUUCAUCGUCGACGCCGGUGGAGGUGCUUUGGGAUCGGAGGGCGUCGAUAUCAGAGGAUGAGUGUAAAACAACAUGAUGGAAUAAUGAGCGGGGGAACAAAAGCUGCUUUAUAUUCCUGUUUUGGUUUUUUUCAAAUCAAACCUAAGUACACUUCUCGGUUGGAUUGUAACGUCUAAGUGAGGCCGGUGUGAGUGUCAGAGCAGCCUUCAUUAGAAAAAUCAAUAUUUUUGUGAUUCUUCCUCCCAAAGUAUCAGCAGCAGACUCGUUGAGUUCGCAAUAAAACACGAAGAGUCUGAGAGUUUCAGCAUUUGGAAUUACUGGACAUUACAGCAAACGAGCCAUGCAUGGGCAAUAAUGGACACAGACAGAUACAAAACAAAGCAAACGUUCAUAUUUUAUGAAAGUUCAUAUCAAGAAAUGUGAUCAAUGGGAGAAAAAGCUUUGCUCUCGACCGUUUUAUUGCCAAUAAUGAUUCACUUACCGGACAUUAUAGAUGCGUUAUGCUCUUAUGAUUCGAGGUAAUCUGUGCAAUUAAAAAAGGAGCUUUAGGAAGGUGGAGAGACAGAACUCCAAAGAUGGAGGAUUUACAAAUGUUCGAUAUGUUUUUGGGGGGAAAACGGGAGAAGAAGAAGAAGAAAUCUCGGCGUGCUUUGGGGAAUCGCUCGGCCGUUUCCACUGUGCCCCAAAUAAACUUGGAUGUUCUCCAUCCAUCAGUUGACUACAUGGAGAGCUGACCUGUCAUAAAUUCACUCUGUGGGGAUGAUGACAGGGCCGGAGCCAAUCUUCAUGAAAGAAUAAAAAAAUGGCACCAGCUUCCCAUCCCCCCCCUACCUCCACUCUCUCCGAGUCCCCCCUUCCAACCCCGACUCACCCUUCACCCUCAGCACUGGAGCACCAUGGCUCCCUAUCUCCCUGCCUAUCUCUCUCUCUCUCUCUCUCUCUCUCUCUCUGCUCCAGCCAGGCUCUCUCUCCCUCUCUCCCCCUUUUCUCUCCAUGGGUAAGCAGGUAAUCAUGAGCUGUCACAGAAAGGUGACCCAUUAAUGUGAUGGAUACGGUGUGAAAAACAAAUGGUGUGAAACGUGUGGAUUGCUGUCCUUACUGCACCUUGGCCUUUUGUUCUGUCAUAUCAAUAUCCACACAGGGCCUCAUUACACCGCUGCACUACACAAUGAGUGGAGCGCCAGGGUCAAGACUGCGCCACGCUCCCUUUGACUGGGCUUUUCAGCUCAAACCUCACCCCAAAGGACUCCCAGGUAAACAGGAAGAAGAGGGGCGGCCUCUGGAGCCACAGACAGCACGCAUCACCCCAGACCAAAUAAGGGAGCCCCUCCACAGUCCUGAAUCCAUCAGGGGCCCUGACUGGGCUGCAGACAAUAGAUACAGGGAGGAGGAGGAGGAGGAGUGAUUCAGUCUUGGGUGUCACAGUCACCAACAG